rnacentral:lncRNA from 1 species
GUGUCAUCAAAUUUGAACCCUCUGCUGAUGGAGGUUCAAUCUGCAAAACCACUAACACAUACUACCCCAAAGGUGGUGCUCAGAUCGGUGAGGAACACCUCAAGGGAGGAAAAGAGAUGGGUUUGGGAAUGGUUAAGGCUGUUGAGGCUUACCUCCAUGCAAAUCCUACUGCCUACAACUAAUUAUAAUGAAUGCUACUGAAGGACUCUUCGACAUAUUUUCUUCAAGAUUGAAGUACACACUGAGGGUGUGUUUCCUUUUUUGCUUGGUUUGCUUUAAGCUGUUUGGUUAAGUUAAAAACAAAAUUGAAUCAUAGAGAGAACAAAAAAAAUAUAGUGUUUCUUAUGGAGAAAAAAAUGGAGCUGAUGCCUAAAAUCUCACAUGGAUCCAACAAGGAUAUGCUCAAAGUUGGAAAAAUGUGCUAUAAUUAUGAUUACUCCUUUAUGAAAUAAAGCUGAAAGCAGCUCAAUUUCUUUUUGUUUUCCAUAUUAUUCAAUUUCGUUGUCGAUUUUUGAUAGUUGUAUUUUUUUUAUUGCUUUAAUAAGGGCUAUGAUUGGAUAUCCUGUUAUGCCAUUGGCUGUCGAUGCUAAACCUGAUAAAUUAGAUGGAUCAUCCAAAUAAAGACAAAAUUGGCUAUGUAAACAUUGGUGAGGGACUAUUUCAGCUUAAGAAAAAUAGUUGAGGGACUAAAUUGGCUUAUAAUAAAAUUAGGGACUACUUCAGCUUUGUAAAAAUAGUUGAGAGACUAAAUUGACUCAUAAAAAGUUUAGGGACUAUUUUGACAUUAACGAAAUAGUUUUGAGACUAUAAACAUUAGGUCACAAUGUUGAAAUAUCAAAACCCAUGUUUGGGACCAAAACUCAUAGAACUUCUUCACGUCGCUAGCGAAAUUUGAUUCUGAAGUAAUGCUAAUUUUAUUUAUUAUUUGUUUCCUUGCUGGUCUUCUGUCUUUUUGGUUACAAUAUUAAAAUGUAUCCAUAAUUUUCAAUUCCAAAAGUGUUGAAUAUUUAAACGAAUUCUAGAAAGGGCACUGAGAGUCAAAAUCUUAUUCAAACAGCCAGCCAUCUCAGAGUACAUAUUUUUUUAUUAUCAGGUUCAAAAUGUAUCUAUUGCAAUUUUUGAAUGAUCAGCCAUGACUAAGAGAAUAAAAUAAUUCACUUGCUGUUUUUAGAUGUGAAUUCAUGACUGUCAGUAGUCUAUAAAUACACUUAUUGCUCACCACUCUUUGCACCGCAAAAUCUUUUCAAGAUCUAUCAAACCCUCCUGUUCUUGAUCUUUGUCCAUUUGUGAAAAAGCAAAUUAAAGCAUCAUGGCCUCUAUCACUUGUAGUGCUGAGAUGACCUCCCCAAUCCCUCCUGCAAGGUUGUUCAAGGCCGCCAUCCUUGAUGACCACCUUCUUCCCAAGAUCAUGCCACAGGCUAUUAAGAGUGGAAAUCCUUGAAGGAGAUGGUGGAGUUUGAACCAUUAAGUUGAGCACAUUUGGUGAAGGUUAGCAGUUAUAUUAAAUGUAGAACCCAAAUUUUAAGGAUCUAAUAAUAAUCAAUGCGUGCAGGGUUACAGAAUUGGAGGGAUAAAAUAAAUACUCAAAAUAUACGUGGAAGAAAAGAAAAUAAUAAAUUCAACUCAUAAUAUUAUUGAAAUUUCAAACAAUGAAGAAAAUCAUACCACAAUAAAUUCAGCUGGUUCUAAUAAUAAUCAAAGCAUACAAGGUUGCAGAAUUAAAAGGAUAAAACAAACACUCAAAAUAUAUGUGGGAGAGAAGAAAAUAAUAAAUUCAACACACAAUAUUACUGAAAUCUCAAACAAUGAAAAAAGUCACACCAUAAUAGAAAACCUUGCUAAUUCUUCUAGAUUCUUUCUCUUGAGAAACCAACCUAAAUAAUGUCCUAUUUAUAAUCUACCAAACUUGUUAGGAAAGAAACCACUUGCAUAAGAAAUUACCAAAUAAAACAGAAAUUCCUAAAUCACACAACUACUAAAAACAUAACUCAAAUAAAACUAAAAAUAAAUAAAUAUUUCUUGGCUUAGUUUAAUUUGUCAACAUUGCCUCCCUUAAACCAAACUAUCCAUUGAGAUAGGUUCAACACCAUCUCGAGCAAUAAUUUCUAUGUUGUAGUACACUUGACAUGAAACUCUAACUUGUUACCAGUUAUUAAUUUCAUUUUUACAUGUAACAAUGGACGCACUAUGUAUUUUGUAAAAAAUUUCUCAGCAAUUUCUUCUUGAUCAAAGUACUCACUUAUACAAACACAUUCAUCACCAGAAUCACCAUAUUUACCACCAAUGUAAGUGCCUAAAAAUACAAAAUCAUAGAUUGCUUUCUGGCUAAAAUUAUCAUCACCAAAUAAUUCAAAAUAACCACUACUACAAUCAUCCAAAAUUUUCAUACUGUCAGUCAACUCUUUUGGAGUAAAGUAUUUUUCAACUCCGAUGACAUCCAUAUCUAUCAAAUCAAACAUUCUCCCAUGACUUUGAAGAGAGUCCGCAACCAACGAAUUUUUCAACAACAAUUUCAUGUUCUCUUCUCUUAUCAAAUCAAAAUUUUCUUCUUCUUUUGUCAAAUUACCAUUUUAUUUUUUUCAACAAAUUCAUUACUUCUAAUUUCUCCAAACAAGGUACGCAAAUCAAAACUAUCAAUUGAUUCAAAAUUUUCAAUAUCACCCAUAUUAUCAACAAAUCUAUCAUUUUUAAAAUCCACAAACUAAUUCCAACAACUAGACUUCGGUUUGAAAGCAUAAUUUCUCUCAAUCGUGUGCAAAACAUAGUAAAUAUUCUUCCAAAAUCUCUAAAGUAUUUUAGUACAACCAAUAAAGGUUUUAUAAAUACUUUUUGCCAUUAAUUUAUGCAUCACUUGAAAGAAUAAUUGUGCCUUUUUCUUAAAAACAUGUUUUGCCAACUUACUUGCGUCAACCCAACAAAGAAUAUCAUCCAAAUUACAUUGUUUGACAUAUUUUUCCACUGUUAAAAUCCAACCAAAUAUGUAUGUAUAUUUGUGCUUAUAGGAGUCAAUAUGAAAAAUUUUUCACCGUCAAUCAGAUCUUUAUAAUAUUCCAUUAUUUAACAAUUUGUAUACCUGAAUAAAUUUUUUUCCUCCAUCCUGUCAUGUUUUCUUGGCCUCCCUGGUUGACUAACCAAAUUAUUGUUGUAUGUAUACCCAUGCUCGUCAAACCUCAUUCGUGUACACUCGUAAGGAGUGGUUCUGAGCUUAUUGUGAAUGCUCAGUACCAAGAAGUAGAAGAGAGAAUGCAUAAGAGAGAAUUAACUUGGCUAAAGAAUUAGGAAACAAUUGAGGGAUUUUUUAAGAAAUUAAUUCUCCAACUGCCACUUUUGGAAAUUUUCUAUCAACAACUAGUUACCAAAACACUAGCACAUAGUAAGAAAUCUGGAUAAUUUCAGAAACCUCCCUUGAGGCUUUUAAUAAUCUCGAGAAGCUCCCCUCAAUUUUUAAAAUUGCACGUACCAUCCCUAUUGGUGCAAAAGUACUCUACUACCCCUAAUAGGAUACUCAAAAGACUUUUUUUAUGGGAAAAAAGAAGGCCAGAAAUCCAAGCGAAAACAAAAAAAAUCAAUUUAUUUUCUCUUUUAGCCUUUUACGCUUUUGCCUUCUACCUUUGCUCACUUUCCCAUGCCAAUCUUCCUAUAACCACUUUCCCAAUCCCCUUUCCCCAACUUUUCUUCUCUACUUCAAGACCAAUUUUUGUCCAUCAAUCCUGGCUUGUGCUUUGUUCCAUUCCCUUCCCUUCUCCUUCUUUGAUUUCCCCUAUAUCUCCCCUUCUCUUUGCAAAAGUGACUAGGCUCAUCUCUCUCCUUUUUUUCCCCAUAUUUUAAGUGUAGUGGGUUUGAUUAUUUUGCAUCUAUUUUAUUUGAUUUUGGUUGAUUAUGGGUGAUAAAACUUGGUGAUGUCACAUAUUAAAAGUUUGAUAGAUGGAUAUUGGGCUUUAGACAAUGAUUUGCUGAAAAAAAUGGCCGCAAUGAGAGGAAGAGGCAAAGGGAUUUGAGUGUGGGGUUGAUUGUUGAUGAAUUGUUGUUUUGGAAAAAAUUUGAGGUUGAGUUUUAUCAAAUUUGGUAGCAAGUGGCGAGAUUUGUUCAGGUUGCGGGAAAUAAAUUGGUUUGUGGUUUCUUGGGCACCCACAGUCGUUGGAAUUGGUUUUGAUUCAAAUUAGGGUGGUUACUUGAUUUUCCUAAUAGUGUUGCUUAAAAGCACACGAUCAUCAAAAUUCCUUAUUUUUAUCUUUUAUUUUUUUUUUGUAGAAAAGAUUUCAUGACUUUCGUGAUAGUCUAAUUUGGAAGAAGGCAAUCAAGGGAUGCAAUCAACAUUUAGCAAAAGCUCUUGUUCUUUUCUUUGUAAUUUUUAGGGUAAAAAGGGUUGUUUAGGGUAUUUGAAGGAAAUGAUAGUCUAUUGGGUCUAUUUUGAAGCAUAAAUAGUGAACGUAAGGGAGGUUGGUGUUAUUUCUGAAACCUAAGGGAAUUGUCUGAAAUUGUCCGAGACCUCGGAGGAGGUUUUCAAAAUUAUCCGUAAGAAAUCAAAUGCGAAACUUGAUUCGUACACGCACACACGACACCACACCACGUCACGCGUGUGUUGAGGACUGAUGUCCGUAGCCAACGACAAGCAGGUUUUCAAUUUUUUUUUCCUUUCCUGGAUUCAGAGAUGGUGUCAGCUUCUAUUAUUGGUGAGCAGGAGGAAAUCCACAAUAUACAGUACACAUCACCCAUAUUCUUUUUAAUUGAACAAUGUAUGAAAUUAUGGUGAUUCGAAAUUAAAUUAUAUGUUUAUUGGACAACGAAUCCAAAAUAAGAGUUGGAAAUGUAUUGUGACAACAAUUGUUAACUUUGGCCACAAAUGAUCAAAAUAAAUAUUUAAGGUUUAAUAUGACAUUAUGGGUUCAAAAUAUAGUUACUUGUUAUGAAACAACUAAAAGUGCGGAUGCCCAUUUGUAUUCUCAAAAGGAUCAAUUCAUAAUUCAUUGCUCCCAAGAUGAUUAAUUCAUAAUUCAUUGCUACAUUAUGUAAAGAAAUUACAUUGGAUGAAUGGUUUCAAUCCAUAAGAGCUAUUCAUGUAUUGGAUGAACCGUUUCAUAUGGCUAUUCAUGUUCUUGUAGUAAUGAGUGUUUAAUAGAAUUGAUGUACCUUUAAUUUUAUAGUACCUAUACAUAGAGGUACCUGGCACCUCUUCGGUGUACUUUUUGAUUAGUUGGAAUAAUAAGAAAAUCAUUCUCCAUUUCUGUACUCUUUCACUAAUAUUUCAAUUCCUAUUAUAGUAGUUCAUUUUUUUUUAGUUUUACAACACGUUAUCAGUACGAGUCUCUCCUUUUAAACAAAAAGGUGAAAACGGAGCCUCUACCUUAAAAAAAAAGUGAAACACGAGAUUUUGCCGAAAUUCUGCCGUAUUUUUCCAGUAACUUCUGUCUACUUAUUGAGAAAUGGAUGCCAAAUAUUUGGGAUUAAAUGAUGGUGAUGAUGACAUUUGUCUCAUUGAUAGUGCUACUACGCGCACUAUAUUGAAAAAUAAAAAAAUUUUCUUGUAUGAAAAUGGGAGAGACAAAUGUUAAUAUCAUAAGUGGUAGUGCAAAAUUGAUUGAAAGAUUCGGAAGAGCCACUCUAUUUCUUCCUAAAGGGACUAAAAUUGUCGUAAAUAAUGCACUAUUGUCUCCCAAGUCUCGGAGAAAUUUAUUGAGUUUUAAAGAUAUCCGCAAAAACGGAUAUCAUAUUGGGACAAUGAUUGAGACAAAUGGAAAAUUUUUAUUAAUCACAAGUAUCAUUUCUAGACAGAAAUACGUAGUAGAAAAAUUACCUUCUUUUUCUUUUGGCUUAUAUUAUGCACAAAUUAGUGCAAUUGAAAUUUAUCACCUAGUAAACCAAAAGUCUAUUCAUCCCAAUAAUUUUAUCAUUUGGCAUGAUCAUUUCAGAAAUCUUGAAUCUAUAAUGAUGAGACAAAUAAUCGAGAAUUCACAUGGUCACUCAUUGAAAAAUCAAAAGAUAUUAAAAGCAAAUGAAUUCUCCUGUGUUGCUUGUUCCCACGGAAAAUUUAUUAGACCAUCACCAGCUAAAGUUGGGACUGAAUCCCCUACAUUUCUAGAACGAAUUCAUGGUGAUAUAUGUGGAUUAUUUCGAUAAUUUAUGGUGCUAAUUGAUGCAUCAUCUAGAUGGUCACAUGUAUGUUUAUUAUCUACUCCCAACCUGGCGUUUGCGAGUUUGCUUGCUCAAAUAAUUAAAUUGCGAGCACAAUUUUCAGACUAUCCAAUAAAGAAAAUUCAUCUAGAUAAUGCUGGUGAAUAUUCAUCACAUACUUUUGACGAUUAUUGCAUGUCCAUUGGAAUAACUGUUGAACAUCUUGUAACUUAUGUUCACACACAAAAUGGUCUAGCCGAAUCAUUUAUUAAACGGCUACAAUUAAUUGCUAAACCAUUGUUGAUGAGGUUUAAACUACUUUCAUCUGCUUGCGAACAUGCUAUAUUACAUGCAGCAACACUUGUGAGAAUUAGACCGACAAGUUAUCAUACUUAUUUUUCCCUACAAUUAACUUUUGGUUAUGAAUCCAAUAUUUUUCAUUUAAGAAUAUUUGGUUAUUCAGUUUGUGUUCUAAUUGCACCGCCCCGACGUUGUAAAUUGGGCUCGCAAAGAAGAUUGAAAAUAUAUGUCGGGUAUGAAUCACCUCUAAUUAUUAAGUAUAUGGAACCAUUGACAGAUGAUUUAUUUAUUGCGAGAUUUGUAGAUUGUCAUUUUGAUGAAUCAGAUUUUUCAACAUUAGGGGGGAGAUAAAAAUCAACCGAAAAAGGAAAUCACUUUAAAAAUAUCAUUGAAUUUUCUCGAUUCUCGUACAAAAGAAUGUGAACUAGAAAUUCAAAAGAUUAUACAUUUGCAAAAAAUUACAAAUCAAUUACCGGAUGCAUUUAAUGACUCCAGAAGAGUUACUAAAUCACAUAUUCCUAUUGAAAAUGCUCUGAUUAAAAUUAAUAUCCUUGAAGGACAAAUUACAAGUGCUAAUGAGUCUAAAGUGCGCCUGAAGCGUGGGAGAUUUCUUGGUUCCAAAGAUAAAAAUUUUCGAAAGAAAAGAGGAGUACAUGAAUCAACAAUUAAUGACAAAAUUUAACCUCCUGAAGAGAUCGCUCCUAAAGAGCCAAUUCUUGAAGAGAAUAAAAUCAUAGAAAAUUCAAUAAAUUUUGUCACUUCAGGGAAAAGUUGGAACCGAAAAGAAAUAAUUAUUGAUAGUAUUUUUGUAUAUAAUGUAGCACUUGAUAUUAUGGUAGAGAAUGGGGAUUACGAGCCUAAAUCGAUUGAUGAAUGUCGACGUAGAAAUGAUUGGCCAAAAUGAAAAGAUGCGAUCCAAUUUGAAUUGGACUCACUGGUUAAAAGAAAAGUUUUUGGACCUGUAGUCCAAACACCUGAAGGUGUGAAGCCAGUAGGAUAUAAAUGGGUAUUUGUGAAAAAAAAAUGAGAAAAAUGAAAUCGUGAGGUAUAAAUUAAUACUUGUAGCCAAAGGAAUUUCACAAAGGCCUGGAUUUGAUUAUGAUUACACGUAUUCACUUGUAGUGGAUGCUAUCACAUUUAGAUAUCUUGUGAGUUUUGCAGUACAUGAAAAAUCAGAUAUGCAUCUAAUGGACGUCGUUACUGCAUAUUUAUAUGAAAAUCUUGAAAAUGAUAUUUAUAUGAGAAUUCCCGAAGGAUUCAAUAUGCCUGAAACAUGCAAAUCAAAUCUUAAAAAUAUUUAUUUAAUUAAAUUACAAAAGUCUUUGUAUGGAUUCAAACAAUCUGAACGUAUGUGGUACCGCCUUAAUGAAUGUUUAACUAAAGAAGGCUAUACCAAUGAUCCAAUAUGUCCAUGUGUCUUUAUCAAGAAAAAUGGAUCAAAUUUUGUGAUAAUUGUUGUAUAUGUUGAUGAUCUAAAUAUGAUUGGAACACCUGAAAAGAUUCAAAAUAGUGUUGAAUAUUUGAAAAAAAAUUUGAGAUCAAAGAUUUUGGAAAAAUAAAAUUUUUCCUUGGUUUACAAAUUGAGCAUUUGAAAAGUGGAAUUUUGUCCACCAAACUGCUUAUACCCGGAAGGUAUUAAAGCGAUUUUAUAUGGAUAAGUCACAUACAUUAAGUAUUCCAAUGGUCAGAUCAUUAGAUCCUAAUAAGGACCCUUUUAGACCGCGAGAGGAAGAUGAAGAGAUACUUGGUCCUAAAGUACCAUAUCUCAGUGCAAUUGGUGCACUACUGUAUCUUGCUAAUUGUACAAGACUUGAUAUAUCAUUUACAAUAAAUUUAUUAGCAAGAUUUAUUUCCUCGCCCACAAGACGACAUUGGAAUGGUAUUAAACAUAUUUUUCGUUAUCUUUAAGGAACAAAUUGAUCUUGGCUUAUUUUAUUCAAAUAAAUCUAAACUUGAAUUGCUUGGUUAUGUUGAUGUUGGAUAUUUAUCUGAUUUGCAUAAAGCAAGAUCUCAGACUGGUUAUCUAUUUACAUAUGGAGGUACAACCAUUUCUUGGCGAUCUAGAAAGCAAUUAUUAGCCGCCACUUCAUCGAAUCAUGCUAAAAUAAUAGCAAUUCAUGAGGCUAGUCGAGAAUGUGUUUCGUUAAGAUCAAUGACCUACUAUAUCCGGAAGAGUUGUGGGUUAUCCUCUGAAAAAGAAAAUCCUCCGACUAUAUUUUAUGAAGAUAAUGCAGCUUGUAUAGCUCAAUUGAAAGGAGAAUAUAUUAAAGGAGAUAGAACGAAAUAUAUUUCACCAAAAUUCUUUUUUACUCAUGAUUUACAAAAGAAUGGUGAAAUUGUUGUGCAACAAAUCCGAUCAGAUAAUAAUUUGAUAGAUUUAUUUACUAAUGUAUUGCCGACUGCAAUAUUUGAGAAAUUGGUGAAGAAUAUUGGAAUGCGACGACUAUAAAAUCUCAAAUGAUAUUUGCAUCAGGGGGAGAAAUCAAUACACAAGAAUAGUGUACUCUUUUUUUUUCACUAGAGUUUUUGUCCCGUUGGAUUUUUUCCUAGUAAGGUUUUAAUAAGACAUAUUCUUUGUGUAAUUAAUAUCCAAUGGGGAGUGUUAUGAAAUAACUAAAAGUGUGGAUGUCCAUUUGUAUUCUCAAGAAGAUCAAUUCAUAAUUCAUUGCUCCCAAGAGAAUUAAUUCAUAAUUUAUUGCUACAUUAUGUAAAGGAAUUACAUUGGAUGAUCGGUUUCAAUCCAUAAGAGCUAUUCAUGUAUUGGAUGAACCAUUUCAUAUGGCUAUUCAUGUUCUUGUAGUAACGAGUGUUUAAUAGAAUUGAUGUACCUUUAAUUUUGUAGUACCUAUAUAUAGAUGUACCUUAGCUGAUAGGUUGCAAUUUUAUCAUUUAUUUUAUAAUUAAUUUCUCCUAUUACCUGACUUGAUGUGGAUUAAUUGCGGGAUUCUACUCACUUUUAGUAUUUUGCAUUUAUUUCAGGGAGUAGAGCGAAAAUAUAAUAACAGGUGCUAAUUUGACAAAAAAAGAGUCCAAGGCACAGAGCUUAUCCCGGGGGCAUUAUUGGCAAAGGAAGACUUUUGCCCAUUUUGGUAAUUUCAAAAGAAGAGAGCAGGGCAGAGGCCUCUAUUUUACUGGAGGCUGGAGCGCCGCACAAAGGGAGCUUCUUCUUCCUUCGGAGGCUCCGUCCUCUCCGCAAGGGGGCUGCCGCACACAGCAGCCAUUAGAAUAGGAGCAAUUGAUAUAUGACAGAGAAUGAGCACUAGCACCAGGGAGUUGCCUUUGUUGACUUUUCUUCCCUUUUAGUUCUUAGUAGUUGUUUUACCUUCCUCGUACGUAGGACCUUUAGCAUAGUUUCCUUUUGACUUUCCCUUGAGUCUUGGGUGGAUGUCUCCUGCGCAUGUCAGGAGCAAUUGAAGGUCUCGGUCACUUUCUGUAUUCUUCCAUCAACUGAGCGAACUGAGCUCCCUUGGUCAAGGGCAAUGGCUGCGGCUUCCUCUCCAACUUUGUGUGGGAUUCGUUCACCAGGAAUGAACUAAUUUUUCUUUUCUAGUCAAGGAACAACGGAGGUCUUGGUUGGCCUAAAUUUGUGAGAUCGAAUUAGUUUUUAUUUAUUUCCAUUAUUCACUGGUAUUUGUCUAUCUUCUGCUUUAUGUUCAUAUGGUUGUUUUAUUAUUCGAUUAUCCAGGGCCCGGAUACUAGAUUAAUUCAAUAACCUGAAGCCAAUUAGGAUAGUUAAAUCCGUAAUUGUUUAAUUAUUCUAAACUGCUGGCAACUGGCAUGAUUGGGUUUGUGUCAGGGGGAUAAACAUGCUAACUUAAAGAGACCCUCGUAGCGUGUUGAUUGGUUAGAAUUAGGCUCUUCUAAUUAUUCAUGCAAUUAGGGAAUUGAACUUCUAUGGUCGUACCUAGGGUUAUUUCCUGAUUAGAGAAAUAGUCAACGGUCGUACCUUGGCUAUCGACAAAUUGAGGAAGAGUUGGUUGUUUAUCGCGUGUAUGGCAACUAUAACUAAUUUAUCAGAUAGUAACUGGAAUAAUCCUUGCAUCUGUGAUCGAAUUAAGUGAACCAUCUCCGAAGUUGUCUCUUGGCUAGAGUUCGUCAAUUAUUAUUUUUAUUGUGAUAAUUAGUUAUUUGAGUUGUAGUUAUUUUAUUUUAUUUAUUCCAAGUAAUUUAGUUACUCUCAUUUUCAAAAACCCCCCAUAUCUGGAACUUGAGAAGAAAUUAAAUUAUCCCCAGUCCCUGUGGAUUCGACCCUGCUCACCGCUAUAUACAGAAUUUGUAUUUUAUUUGAGCAGGUAUUUAUUAUUGCACAGGUUCGGCACCUGUCAAUUUUUUGCUACAUUAUGUAAAGGAAUUACAUUGGAUGAUCGGUUUCAAUCCAUAAGAGCUAUUCAUGUAUUGGAUGAACCAUUUCAUAUGGCUAUUCAUGUUCUUGUAGUAACGAGUGUUUAAUAGAAUUGAUGUACCUUUAAUUUUGUAGUACCUAUAUAUAGAUGUACCUUAGCACCUCUUGGGUGUACUUUUUGAUUAGUUGGAAUAAUAAAAAAAUCAUUCUCCAUUUCUGUACUUCUUUCUCUAAUAUUUCAAUUCCUAUCACAGUAGUUAUUUUUUUUUAGCUUUACAACAUUACUUAAAUAAGAGAGUUAUUGGACUAUAUGUUUAUUGACCUCUACUAACUUAUUUAAGGUCAUUUCAUAUCACUAUCCAAAGAAGAAUUAAGGUCAUUUCAUAUCACUAUCCAAAGAACAAUUCUUGGGCGCUAACAUUUUUCUUACAUGACUAUUAAUGAAAGUUGACCCAAAUCUCUCUGUCUCUCUCUUUCUUUCAAUUCUUAGGACUGAUGCCAAUUCUUACCAUUUAGAAAGAAAAAUUAGAUUGUUUAUAUAUAUGAUGAGUUCCCUCUAAGUCAUGGUUAAGAAAAAUUCUUAGUUAAACGCAGUUUUAUGAAAUGUGAAUUUCCUUUUCUUUGUCUUUAUUCAUUAGUAUUAUUGGGGUUAUUGUAUUAUGAUUGCAAUGCACAGAUACAUGGAUUUUUGACAUUUUUUCUUUUUAAUUGACUCUGACUAUGCCUCAAACUCGAGACAUCAAACCUGGACACGACUUUUGUCCAAAAUGCUUGUAAAAAUUCAGAAGAAUAAUUUUGGACCUUAUUAUUUGAUAAUGGUACAAUUAUGAGAGUCAUUCCAGGUUAAUUAUCAAACUUGGAACUUGAAAAUAAUGUCGACAUCAUGUCAUUAUUAUUUUUUAGUUUCAUAGAAAAAUGAAGUAUUCUCCAACUCGACAUUAUCAUAGUAUUUUCAAUUGGCAGCUCAUGUGAGAAAGACAAGAAAUUCACAAUCAACUGGCCAAGAGAGUGCCAACAAAGAAAGCACUAAAUGGCUUAAACAAUGCAUGCAAAUUUGCUUGGCACUUAAACAAUAGACACCUAAAUCAACCAUGUCACUGUCUUGCCAAAAAAGGGCAUUAAAGUAAAAACAACUCAUGCCUACCACAGGUAACAAACUUCAGCACCUUCACUUCACUACCAUGUCAGCAACAACAUUUGCAAAUUUCCAAGGAAGUCCACGCACUAAAGGUGCCCAUGCCCUUAGGGGACCUCAGGUUAGUGUUCUUAACCUCAACUCCUGUCUUUCUGUUCUUAGGAAAUAUUGAAAUUAAACGUUAUAACUAAUCCUGAUUUCCUUGUGCUAUAUUUGUACACAAUUUGGCAACAAGGGUAAAAAAAAAUAAAAAUAAAAAGGUUUAUCUGCAAACUGUAGUUCGGCCUGGCUCUUUUUUUUUUUUUUUUUUUUGGGGAUAAGAUCAUCUCAGCACCCGCAGACCCCGUCAUGUAUCAAUAUUUCUGUACUUAGCAUUGGCUUCUUCUCGCCUGAAGAACACACGAACCACCGAAAUAGAUGGUGCAUGAAAGUGCACUUAACCCUUUUAAUUUUUCAAAACAAUCUUUUAGAAAAAAUAAUAAAAACUUUUUGAAUUUAAUUUUAGAGAAGAAGAAUUUUAAAAUUUUUUGAAUUUAAUCUUAGAGAAGAAGAAGUUUAAAAUGUACUUUAAUUUUCACAACUGAUGAUGAAAAUAGCAAAAUGUACACGGAUAGUGACAAAAGUGGGAUCACGGGCAGGAAAUCCUGAAGGUUGCGUGCAUUUUACACACGGCAUAAUUCUGUUUGUAUAUAGUGUAAUUUACUUUUUACAACGUGUAAUUUUAAAACAAAAUUUUGUAAGUCUCACACAUUUUAUUAAAAAUAAGGUACAAGAUGAAAUUUGGACCAUAUAAUUUUUUUUAAUCAAAUCUUGACCGUGAACUGCUCAGAAACGGUUUACCUGAUGACCGUCCCUGGUCCAAACCCGACAAAGGUGCCAUCUUAUCCUUUUACUGACUGGCCCGUUUUCCAAUGAGAGGGCCCAGAAGGGGUGCCUCUGCUUCAUAGUUUAUCCAUAUUGAUAUUUCUUUUCUGUCCCCCUAACUAUUAAAUGUGAAAGGUUGCCCACCAAAUUUGACGAAACCGUUUAUCCUAAUUGAUUAUUAUCAAUAGGGCAUAACUUUAAUAUUCUUCUUCCAACCCUUUCUGGUGAUUCCUGCAACUCCAGCCGUCCGUCAAUGACCAUAAAGCACCAUUAACCGACAACUAACUAACCACUAUUAAUCUAUUCUCAAAUUUUAAUGAAAUUGCACAAUCUAUUCUCAAAUCAAAUUUGAACAACAUUUUAUAGUCGAUAACUUUGAAACUUGAUAAAAAAGUCUGUUUAAACUCGGUUUAGUAAAUAAACAAAUCAAGUUUGAACAAAAUUUUAAACUCAUUAAAAUAAUUAAACACGUUUGAAUAUUAGGGUAUUCGAUUUAAUUAGACACGUUUGUAUCCCUAAUUAAAGCAUGCACUUUUAUAAGUUUAGGAAUCAACAUUAUACAUUUAAUAGCUAGCUAGAGGGUCAAAAAGUUAAUUGCCUUAAAUUCUUUUAGCAGCCAUAAGGUACAGUUGGAGGGAUUCCCUUGAAAUUGGUUAGAUUCUUCUAUGUGACUAAAGAAUUUCGGGUGUGACGCAUUACUAGUCCUACCCUAAAAAAAAAUGGUAUUACUAGUCCUUUUUUUCUUUUUUGGCGUGCCCCCGUCGUGGGAUGUGGGGAGGGGAGUCUGUGCGAGAAUUCUAGGUCGGGGUACAAGGAGCCAAAGUUCACCUUAUUCAAAGUAAACAACCGUCCAUCUCAGUUGUCGACUUUCCUGUCGAUUGCGUAUAUAUAUAUAUUACUAUCUUUUACCAUGACUUUAGAGGAUAGCUAAUUUUGCUUGCUAUUAAAUAAUAAUUUCGGUAGUCUAUAAAUACUCUUGUUCCUCACCGCUCCUAGCACCACAUAAUUCCUUCAAGAACAGCCAAAACCUUCUUGAAAUCCCUCUUUUUCCUUCUAGUUCAUUUCCAAGAAACAAAUGGCCCCUGUCACUUCCAGUUAUGAGGUCACCUCCUCAAUCCCUCCUGCAAGGUUGUUCAAGGCCACCAUCCUCGAAGAGAAGCAUCUUCACAAGAUCUUGCCACAGGGCGUUAAGAGUGUCGAAAUCCUUGAAGGAGAUGGUGGAGUUGGCACAAUUAAGUUGACCACAUUUGUUGACGGUAAGAUAAUCAAUACAAAGUGAUUAUUUUCACACAUUUGAAGUCUUCAAAUUUUUCUCUUUUUUUCCCUUUUAUUUGGGAAAAACUAAUGACUUUUUUUUUUUGGUUGGGUUAAAUAUUUAGGUGGCGAGCAUAAGACUGCCAAACAGAGAGUUGAUGGAAUUGACAAAGAAAAAUUUACAUACAGCUAUACUGUACUUGAAGCUGAUGGAUUUAACGAUGUAAUCGAGAAAAUCUGUUGUGUCAUCAAAUUUGAACCCUCUGCUGAUGGAGGUUCAAUCUGCAAAACCACUAACACAUACUACCCCAAAGGUGGUGCUCAGAUCAGUGAGGAACACCUCAAGGGAGGAAAAGAGAUGGGUUUGGGAAUGGUUAAGGCUGUUGAGGCAUACCUCCAUGCAAAUCCUACUGCCUACAACUAAUUAUAAUGAAUGCUACUGCAAGGACUCUUCGACAUAUUUUCUUCAAGAUUGAAGUAUAAACUGAGGGUGUCUGUUUCCUUUUUUGCUUGGUUUGCUUAAGCUGUUUGGUUAAGUUAUUCGCAGCAAGAGAAUAAAAUAAUUCAUUUGCUGUUUUUAGAUAUGAAUUCAUGACUGUCAGUAGUCUAUAAAUACACUUAUUGCUCACCACUCUUUGCACCGCAAAAUCUUUUCAAGAUCCAUCAAACCCUCCUGUUCUUGAUCUUUCUCCAUUUGUGAAAAAACAAAUUAAAGCAUCAUGGCCCCUAUCACUUGUAGUGCUGAGAUGACCUCCCCAAUGCCUCCUGCAAGGUUGUUCAAGGCCGCCAUCCUUGAUGACCACCUUCUUCCCAAGAUCAUGCCACAGGCUAUUAAAAGUGGAAAUUCUUGAAGGAGAUGGUGGAGUUUGAACCAUUAAGUUGAGCACAUUUGGUGACGGUUAGAUGUUAUAUUAAAUGUAGAACCCAAAUUUUAAGGAUCUAAUAAUAAUCAAUUAAUAAUAAUCAAUGCGUGCAGGGUUACAGAAUUGGAGGGAUAAAACAAAUACUCAAAUAAAUGUGGAAGAAAAGAAAAUAAUAAAUUCAACUCACAAAAUUAUUGAAAUUUCAAACAAUGAAAAAAAUCAUACCUUAAUAAAUUCAGUUGGUUUUAAUAAUAAUCAAAGCAUACAAGGUUAAAGAAUUAAAAGGAUAAAACAAACACUCAAAAUAUAUGUGGGAGAGAAGAAAAUAAUAAAUUCAACACACAAUAUUAUUGAAAUCUCAAACAAUGAAAAAAGUCACACCAUAAUAGAAAAUCUUGCAAAUUCUUCUAGAUUCUUUCUCUUGAGAAACCAACCUAAAUAAUGUUCUAUUUAUAAUCUACCAAACUUGUUAGGAAAGAAACCACUUGCAUAAGAAAUUACCAAAUAAAACAGAAAUUCCUAAAUCACACAACUACUAAAAACAUAACUCAAAUAAAACUAAAAAAUAAAUAAAUUUUUCUUGGCUUAGUUUAAUUUGUUAACAUUGCCUCCCUUAAACCAAACUAUCCAUUGAGAUAUGUUCAACACCAUCUCGAGUAACAAUUUCUAUGCAAAUCUAUGUUGUAGUAUACUUGACAUGAAACUCUAACUUGUUACCAGUUAUUAAUUUCAUCUUUACACGUAACAGUGGACGUACUAUGUAUUUUGUAAAAAAUUUCUCAACAAUUUCUUCUUGAUCAAAGUACUCAUUUAUACAAACCCAUUCAUCACCAGAAUCAUCAUAUUUACCACCAAUGUAAGUUCCUAAAAAUACAAAAUCAUUGCUUGCUUUCUCGCUAAAAUUAUCAUAACCAAAUAAUUUAAAAUAGCCACUACUACAAUCAUCCAAAAUUUUCAUACUGUCAGUCAACUCUUUUGGAGUAAAAUAUUUUUCAACUAUAAUGACAUCCAUAUCUAUCAAAUCAAGCAUUCUCCCAUCACUUUGAAGAAAGUCCGAACCAACGAAUUUUUCAACAACAAUUUCAUGAUCUCUUCUCUUAUCAAGUCAAAAUUUUCUUCUUCUUUUGUCAAAUUACCAUAUUAUUGUUUCAACAAAUUCAUUACUUCUAAUUUCUCCAAACAAGGUACGCAAAUCAAAACUAUCAAUUGAUUCAAAAUUUUCGAUAUCACCCAUAUUAUCAACAAAUCUAUCAUUUUUAAAAUCCACAAACCAAUACCAACAACUAGACUUCGGUUUGAAAGCAUAAUUUCUCUCAAUCGUGUGCAAAACAAAGUAAAUAUCCUUCCAAAAUCUCUAAAGUAUUUUAGUAUGACCAAUAAAGGUUUUAUAAAUACUUUCUGCCAUUAUUUUACACAUCACUUGAAAGAAUAAUUGUGCUUUUUUUCUUAAAAACAUGUUUUGCCAACUUACUUGCAUCAACCCAACAAAGAAUAUCAUCCAAAUUACAUUGUUUGAGAUAUUUUUCCACUGUUAAAAUUCAGCCAAAAUAUGUAUGUCUAUUUGUGUUUAUAGGAGUCAAUAUGGAAAAUUUUUCACCAUCAAUCAGAUCUUUAUAAUAUUCCAUUAUUUAACAAUUUGUAUACCUGAAUAAAUUUUUUUCCUCCAUCCUGUCAUGUUUUCUUGGCCUCCUUGGUUGACUGACCAAAUUAUUGUUGUAUGUAUACCCAUGCUUGUCAAACCUCAUUCGUGUACACUCGUAAGGAGUGGUUUUGAGCUUACUGUGAAUGCUUAAUACCAAGAAGUAGAAGAGAGAAUGCAUAAGAGAGAAUUAACUUGGCUAAAGAAUUGGGAAGCAAUUUAGGGAUUUUUUAAGAAAUUAAUUCUCCAACCGCCACUUUUGGAAAUUUCUAUCAACAACUAGUUACCAAAACACUAGGACAGCGAUCCGUCUCUAUUUUACUCUUCAAGUCUUCGCCGGGGAAGCAACCCGGCCUUGCGAGACUAUAAUGAAUAGGCACUUGCCUUCUGUUUUUACUUUUUUUUUGUUCAAAGACUAUAAUGCCCUUAUUAUUUGACUGCGCAUCUCGCAAGAUAAUGCUUUCCAUCAAAAUUAACUGUUGGGUUUGACAGAAGCGCCACGAAUAUUCUAUUUUAUUAGAUCCAGAGUCAAAAUUUUACCGUUAAUUGUUAGAGGGUUAAAACUUUAUCUGGAAAGGAGUUGGAGGGCCAUUGGAACUCUUUUUCCAAAAAAAAAAAAAAGUCACUUUUGUCAUUUGUCCAAGAACAGUUCUGGGGCCAUCUCGACAGUAUAUAUUUUUCUUACAUGCCAAGACAAUUAAUGAAAAUUGACCAAUAACACACGCACACACACACACACACACACACACUCUCUCUCUCUCUCUCUCUCUCUCUCGGUUGCUGCCAAGUCUUUCCAUUGAAAAAGGAAAAUUCAUAUUGUUUACAUAGAUAAAUUACCUCCAGUCCGUGGAAUGUCUUGAUGUUAGGUGAGUUCUAAUAUUUUGGUAUCAUCUAGAGGUGGCAAAUCAACCCACUUAACUAAAUUUACCCAUAUCCGCCCAUGAAUAGAUGGGUAUGGAUAUCUUAAAUUUUUGUAUAUGAGUAUAAAUGGGUUACCCAAUAAUACCCAUUUAAAUGGGUAACCCAUCAAACCCAAUUAACCCAUUUAGAAUUCUCUUCCCCUCAAGUCUCUUCUUUUCCCCCACCUUUUUUUUUUUCAAAUUUUUCAUUUUGUCAUGAUGUUAACUACUUUUGUUUUAUUAUUAUUAUUUGUUGGUUUUAUCUUAUUAUUUUAUUUUCUCUUAGUUUGUUAACUUACUCAUUUUUUACCAUUACCAAUUUAUGAUAAAUUUUAGCCUAUUUUCUUAUCUUUAUAAAAUGAAAUUUUAAAUUUAUAUAUGAAAAAAAUGUUAGGGGUUCAAAAAUUUUGGAUUAAGUUUUUAUAUUAAUUUUUAUAGUACUUAGUUCAAAAUUUUAUAUUCUUAUUAUUCAAUUAUUAAAUAAUAGGUAAUUUUGUGACAUAGAGUAUAAAUGAAAAAAAAUUGGUAAUUAAGUUUAUUGAACAUUAUAAGUAAAUAUUUAAAACUAAUGAUGGGUAUAAAGAGUGAUAUAAAUUGAUAACUUAGUUUGCAAAAAUGAAUUUAAAUGAGUUUGCAAAAAGUUAAAAUAAAUGGGUUAUAAAUGGGUAAUUGGGUUACCCAAUUCAUUUUUUGACUUGCCUAUUUAUACCCAUAUAAUUAAAUGGGUAUAAAUGAGUUGACUCACUUAUACCCAUUACCCAUUUUACCCAACUCAAACCCGCCCAAGUCACCCAUUUUGACACCUUUAGUAUCAUCUAAUGUUCAUUUGUGAAAGAUUGAGAAAUGAUAAAGAGCAAAACACCAAUUUAUUCCAUAAAUUAUUUUGCUAAAAUCAAAAUAGUCCAUAAAUUUUCUUUUGGCCAAAUUUUUGUCAUGAACUUUCAGAAACGGUUGCAGGGGAUUUCAUCCGGAUUGCUUGUGCAGUUGAGUAACUAUACAGAAAUUCUUUUUGGGAUGCUGAGUAUCUUAGGAUGGGUACAAUGAUCGCUUAGAUCAGUAGAGAUGAUUGAUGAUGUAGUAGGGGAAGAUUCCCUUUAUAAAGCUGAUUUUCUCAUGAUUAAUAAGAAUAUAAAUGUUACCAAAUUUUCUUUUCAAAUGUGUAACGAAAAUAUUGGCCAUGAUCAGCAAGACCUCCUUAAUUAUAAAAGUUUCUUGAAUGUCAUCAUCCAAUUUGUUUAAGCGAGGAUUUUUAAAUGCUAUCUUUAAGCAAAUUGAUUUUUGUAUUAUAGAUACUUACUACUAUUACUUCAUACCUAGCUACAAACCUCAUGUAUGUUUUAGUUUUAAUCCAGAACAAAUCAGGGCCACGGGCCACCUUGCACAUAGCGAGAGUGGAAAAAUAAAACUACACAAUUGCUUUUUUGAAGCCAGUGACUCAACUGAUUUUGCGCUCGGCAAUUCAUCCGAUUUUCAUUAAAAGGGCCCUAAGAGGCCAUUGGCGUUUUGGGCCUGUGAAAAUUUGGAUGAUUUGGUGUGUCCAAUGCAUGUGUAAGCACAAAUUUUGUUGUCUAAAAUAAAAGACAAGAAAACUUACAUAAAUAUCAAAUUUAUUAAAUUAAAUAACAAGAGGGUUACAAUAUUUGAAAAUUUUUGAAUCAAAGAAAUUAAUCUCCUAAUUUUUAUCUUCAAAAGGCUUUAAUCGGAAGGCCAAAAAGGCUUGUUCUCCGAUCAAGAGGGUGUUUUCUAUGAUUUCUAUGUAAAAAACGGCUGCUUUGAUGAUGACGUUAAUAUUUGAAUCUUUAAAUCUUCAACGCCGAUGGAAGGAGGAUUUAUUUAACUUAAUUUGGAUUUGGAUUUGAAUUUGAGGGAAAAAGCUCUCAAGAGAAUUUGACAAAGUUACUUUGAAAUUUAGGAAUUUUAAUGUAUUUUUGCCUUGAGGGAAGACCUUUAUUUAGAGUCAACAUAUGCAAGCUAUGUCUUCAAGAGAAUCCUUCAAAACCAUCUUGCGUUUGGGUAACUUGUACCUUAAGAAACCCAUUUAACUUGGAGUUAAAUAGUCGGCCGACCCAAAUAGUCAAUUGUGAAUUAACAAAUCAAUUAAAUCACUUUAAUUUAAAUGGGCAUCACAUUUUUUAUUUGAUUUAAUAGCUCAUAUAACAUUGGCUCAAUUUGUCAAUCCAAAACAUAAUGAACUUCUAUAAUUUAAUUUAAUUUAAUAAAAAUCAAUUUAAUUUACUUAAUCUUGCCUAAAAAUAAAUUAAAUAAAUUUUCGUUGUCUAUGUCCCCACUUCAAAACUUGGCAAGGCAUUGCAUGUUUAUUUGAAUUAACUUAAAACUUCUUAAUACGAUUCAUCUAAGCACCUUUAUAUAUAUAUAUAUAUAUAUAUAUAUAUAUAUAUAUAUAUUUAUUUAUUUAUUUAUAUAUAGAGGUACAGAAGACAUGUCUUUGUCUUGAAACUGUGACAAACAGGACACUUAAGACAAGGGCGUGUGAAGACUAUCGCACUAUUUGAGCGAAAAAAACCUGUUUUGCACGUAUAUUUUGAAGGUAAUCAUCUUUAUUGUCUUUUGACAACUUCAUGUUGGUCGAGUAUCAGAUAUUCACCAAAUUUUGUUGAAAUUUGUCAAAACUUGAUUUGUUUCCAAUUUGGAGAAAAAAAAAGAUUUUUUUCUUCGUUUCUGCAAUUUUCCAGGUCACUCUUUCCUAUCAACAUGUUACGAUUCAGAAAUUGAGACAAAUCUUGUACAUAGGAAUCUUUUUUAACAGCUGAUGGUUGGAAUUUAGCAGACACCUUGAAGUCAAAGAAGGCAAAUAGCAUUCCAAUAGCAUUAUUUGGUUGCAUGCCAUAUCCAAGAUUUUCACUAGUAAGCCACCAUUUUCUUGCUUUUGAUUGUUAUUCAUUCUCUGUUGCGCAAUUUUAUUUUCGCACAAUCUAUUUUUUUCGUUGAAUUUUCUCUUUUGCAAAACAGCGACCACCAAGGAAAGACAGAAAGAUUUUUUUGUUUUUGUUUUUGUUUUUGUUUUUGUUUUUUUUUUUAUGGUUGCACCUUGUGUUGGCACCCCUUAUUUGAAGCAAGUUGAUGUUCCAGUUGUGUUGGGGAUUUUAGGGCCAUAGCUCUUAGAACUCAAAAUACUAAUGUAAUUUCCGCACUCCAUGACAUUUACUUCUUGUCAAUGCCAAACUCUCCUCUUUUUUUUUGUGAUAUGAAAGGAAGAUCUCUCGUUGCAACAUAUAUGGUGGACACUCAAUUUGAAAGAAGGUGCAACCACCAACUUGCACGAGAGCCAUAUCAUGGUUUGAGGAGUAUAAUGAAAAUGAUGCAACUGCAAACUCUUAUGAGAGCCAUAUCAUGGUUGAGAAGUACAAUGAAGAUAGUGCAAUCAAAAAUUUGAAAAAGGUGCAAUCGCAAACUCCCAUGAGAGCCUAUCAUGGAUUGAGGAGUACAACGAAGAAUGUGCCACAAAAAGUUGAAAAAUGUGCAAUCGCAAACUCGCACGAGAGCCUAUCAUGGUUUGAGGAGUACAAUGAAGAAGGUGCAACUACCCACUUCAAUGAGAGCUUACCAAAACUCGAGAAGCCCUUUCAUUUAACUUCACAUUGACUAUUUAUUACUUCUCUCACUGUCUUCGAUCACACCAUUGUAAUCAAAUUUUUUUCUCUUGCUUUUGGUCCUAACGAAAUGGUGAUGGUCAAGGAAGUUACAUCUUCAAACAAAAGGCACCUCCUUAUCACUAAUAGCCAUGAUGACUCUGCUGACAAAGGAACGAAAUUAUUGGUGCAUCCCUCUAUACAAGAAAUUUACUCUGGUGAUUGGUUUUCUCACAAGUAUUCCGAAUUAAAGGAUUGGUCACUAAAAUUUUCUCAAGAUGAUGGUACGAAAGUUCACUCCUUGAAAUUCCUUAUCAUAAUAAGGAGCCAAGGACAAUUGGCAGGCGAAUCCUAGAUGAGACUAAGGGUGCAAACGAGGCAAGUCGAAUCGAGUUUUGAAGUUAUUGAGUCGAGUUACACUUAUUUAUAUGCGAGCUCGAGUUCGAGGUCGAAAAAUAGAGCUCGAACUCGGCUCGAUGUAGGAAAAGGAAAACUCGAGAUCGACUCGCUUAUGGCUCGCGAGUUUAGCUCGAAUUCUGGCUCGCGAGCAGCUCGAGUUUUGCUAGAUUUUCUGGCUCGCAUGAAGCUCGAAGUCAGCUCGAUUCUAGCUCGUUAGGAGCUCCAGUUCGAACUCGAAAACAGCUCGAUUUUCUGGAAAUUUAUGCAAGAAAACAGAAUUUUUGUCCGCAUAUUUUUGAUAAAAUUUGAGCAUGAUAACAAUAAGUUUUCACAUAUUCUUGAUCUUGAGGCCUACAAAUUAUGCACUAAUACAAUCAUAAAUGUCCAAAUGUCCACUAAUACAAAUUAUCCAAAUGUCCACAAAUGUCCACUAAUACAAAUUAUCCAAAUGUCCACAAGAAGUCUGAAGAAUACCAGCUUGUUGUCCACAAAAACCAAGGCAUGACAUGAAGCGAGAAUUUCCUGACUGCGUCCUGGAACUUUACUCAUUUCUGUCUCUAAUUCCUCAUGAUCAGUUAGUCCACCAACAUUGAACAAUAUGGAUCAGGAAUGGGGAAAAAUCACUUUCUAACACUCAAGAUCACAUACAACUCAUAUCCAACAAAUAUCCUGAAGUUUCAUGAGUAUAAUCACAUUAAAAGAGAAAAGGAUACUGACAAGCAUGCUAAUCAAACUCAAGCAGAAAAGGUACUUUCUCCUUGCCGUCUCCGACAUCCCAGCCAGCAAAUGGCUGGGGUUCGUGACAGCUGUUUGGGUCCAAUCCAUCUCCGGCAACAACUAUACCUUCUCCAAUUACUCCGACGCCCUCAAAUCACUCAUGGCCCUCACUCAGCUCCAACUCAACAACCUCUCCGUCGCCAAUUGAUGUCAUUAAAGCAGAAAAUCGGCCUGAUGGCCUCCACCAGCUGCCAUCCCUAAUCCAAGAAGGUCGAGUGUAGUAUGCUUAGGACCAAAUACAGAUGGAGUUCCCAACAUCAGUUCCUUCAAGCUAGACCCACCAUCACACGGCAGCCCUAGUCCUAGGCCUACUACCAAUGAUGCACUAUCAGACUCAAUUGCCCUCCCACUCUUCGCCCGGAAAGACAGUGGUGAAAAGAGGUAAGGAGGUGGCGGCAAAGAGCGACGGGUUAGCCAAAGUUAGAAGAUCCUCUUUUUCUAGAUUUGCAAGUUUCCUACUCUAGAGACAAAAAUGUCCUUGAUAUUUGGUCGUGCAUCUUACAAGAUAAUGCUUUCCGUCAAUUUUAACCGUUGGAUUUGACGGAAGGGCCAUGAAUAUGCUAUUUUAUUAGAUCGAGAGCCAAAAUUUUACCGUUAAUUGUUGGAGGGUUAAAACUUUAUCUGGAAAAGAGUUGGAGGGCCAUUGGAACUCUUUUUCCAAAAAAAAAAAGUCACUUUUGUCAUUUGUCCGAGAACAGUUCAGGGGCCAUCUCGACAGUAUAUAUUUUUCUUACAUGCCAAGACAAUUAAUGAAAAUUGACCAAUAACACACGCACACACACGCGCACGCACACACACACACACUCUCUCUCUCUCGGUUGCUGCCAAGUCUUUCCACUGAAAAGGAAAAUUCAUAUUGUUUACAUAGAUAAAUUACCUCCAGUCCGUGGAAUGUCUUGAUGUUAGGUGAGUUCCAAUAUUUUGGUAUCAUCUAAUGUUCAUUUGUGAAAGAUUGAGAAAUGAUAAAGAGCAAAACACCAAUUUAUUCCAUAAAUUAUUUUGCUAAAAUCAAAAUAGUCCAUAAAUUUUCUUUUGGCCAAAUUUUUGUCAUGAACUUUCAGAAACGGUUGCUUCCUGCAACCGUUGGUGAGGGAUUUCAUCCGGAUUGCUUGUGCAGUUGAGUAACUAUACAGAAAUUCUUUUUGGGAUGCUGAGUAUCUUAGGGUGGGUACAAUGAUCGCUUAGAUCAGUAGAGAUGAUUGAUGAUGUAGUAGGGGAAGAUUCCCUUUAUAAAGCUGAUUUUCUCAUGAUUAAUAAGAAUAUAAAUGUUACCAAAUUUUCUUUUCAAAUGUGUAACGAAAAUAUUGGCCAUGAUCAGCAAGACCUCCUUAAUUAUAAAAGUUUCUUGAAUGUCAUCAUCCAAUUUGUUUAAGCGAGGAUUUUUAAAUGCUAUCUUUAAGCAAAUUGAUUUUUGUAUUAUAGAUACUUACUACUAUUACUUCAUACCUAGCUACAAACCUCAUGUAUGUUUUAAUCCAGAACAAAUCAGGGCCAUGGGCCACCUUGCACAUAGCGAGAGUGGAAAAAUAAAACUACACAAUUGCUUUUUUGAAGCCAGUGACUCAACUGAUUUUGCGCUCGGCAAUUCAUCCGAUUUUCAUUAAAAGGGCCCUAAGAGGCCAUUGGCGUUUUGGGCCUGUGAAAAUUUGGAUGAUUUGGUGUGUCCAAUGCAUGUGUAAGCACAAAUUUUGUUGUCUAAAAUAAAAGACAAGAAAACUUACAUAAAUAUCAAAUUUAUUAAAUUAAAUAACAAGAGGGUUACAAUAUUUGAAAAUUUUUGAAUCAAAGAAAUUAAUCUCCUAAUUUUUAUCUUCAAAAGGCUUUAAUCGGAAGGCCAAAAAGGCUUGUUCUCCGAUCAAGAGGGUGUUUUCUAUGAUUUCUAUGUAAAAAACGGCUGCUUUGAUGAUGACGUUAAUAUUUGAAUCUUUAAAUCUUCAACGCCGAUGGAAGGAGGAUUUAUUUAACUUAAUUUGGAUUUGGAUUUGAAUUUGAGGGAUAAAGCUCUCGACAGAAUUUGACAAAGUUACUUUGAAAUUUAGGAAUUUUAAUGUAUUUUUGCCUUGAGGGAAGACCUUUAUUUAGAGUCAACUUAUGCAAGCUAUGUCUUCAAGAGAAUCCUUCAAAACCAUCUUGCGUUUGGGUAACUUGUACCUUAAGAAACCCAUUUAACUUGGAGUUAAAUAGUGGUCCGACCCAAAUAGUCAAUUGUGAAUUAACAAAUCAAUUAAAUCACUUUAAUUUAAAUGGGCAUCAUAUUUUUUAUUUGAUUAAAUAGCUCAUAUAACAUUGGCUCAAUUUGUCAAUCCAAAACAUAAUGAACUUCUAUAAUUUAAUUCAAUUUAACUAAGAUCAAUUUAAUUUACUUAAUCUUGACUAAAAAUAAAUUAAAUAAAUUUUCGUUGUCUAUGUCCCCACUUCAAAACUUGGCGAGGCAUUGCAUGUUAAUUGCUGGAGGCAAGACUUGAAGUAUUAAUUUUACUGCUGACCUAAAGUCAAACUAAAUUAAAGACUUCAAGCGUUCGGCAUACGGGUGAUCCACUUUUUUUUUUUUUUUUUUUUUUUCCUUUUUCUUUGGGAAGAGAAUGGUCCACAUCAAUUGUAGAAUUGCACCUCAAAGUCCAAUUGAAUAGGCAACGGUCACGGGUCUUCACUUUCACCUACUACUUGAAUAAAGCCUUGAAGCUCUUGAAUUUUCCAACUCUUAAUUUAGUCGUCAAUGGAAGUGCAGCCCCACAAUAUUAGACCGCAACUUUGACCCGUAGAAUUAGAAACCCCCGUUUGAUUAUGCGAUGUGGGCUCCUGCGCAGAAACUCCCAUAUGCUGAAAUUUGGAGUUUGCUCGUACGUUUCUGACCACCAAAUCUUGUUUUGGCACUUGGCAAUAUGGAAUUUGCUGAGUUUCAACGCUUCCUAAACGGAACUUUAAUGUAUUUCCAAAACCAAUGUUUGCAACUUCUGAAUAAGAAUAUGCCAAAUUUUAAGAGCUUCCCAAAUUGACUUCCAGCCAUUGAAAUUAUUCUUGGGAACCAAAUUCAAAUGAUUUCCAAAAAGUUAAACGAUAAUCACUGAAUUUAGUAUCUGUCCAAAACUUAAAACUUCUUAAUAUGAUUCAUCUAAGCACCUUUAUAUAUAUAUAUAUAUAUAUAUAUAUAUAUAUAUAUAUAGGUACAGAAGACAUGUCUUUGUCUUGAAACUGUGACAAACAGGACAUUUAUGACAAGGGCGUGUGAAGACUACCACGCUAUUUGAGGGAAAAAAAACCUGUUUGACACGUAUAUCUUGAAGGUAAUCAUCUUUAUUGUCUUUUGACAACUUCAUGUUGGUCGAGUAUCAGAUAUUCACCAAAUUUUGUUGAAAUCUGUCAAAACUUGAUUUGUUUCUAAUUUGGAGAAAAAAAAAGAUUUUUUUCUUCGUUUCUGCAAUUUUCCAGGUCACUCUUUCCUCUCAACAUGUUACGAUUCAGAAAUUGAGACAAAUCUUGUACAUAGGAAUCUUUUUUAACAGCUGAUGGUUGGAAUUUAGCAGACACCUUGAAGUCAAAGAAGGCAACUAGCAUUCCAAUAGCAUUAUUUGGUUGCAUGCCAUAUCCAAGAUUUUCACUAGUAAGCCACCAUUUUCUUGCUUUUGAUUGUUAUUCUUUCUCUGUUGCACAAUUUUAUUUUCGCACAAUCCAUUUUUUUUCUUUGAAUUUUCUCUUUUGCAAAACAGAGACCACCAAGGAAAGACAGAAAGAUUUUUUGUUUUUGUUUUUGUUUUUGUUUUUGUUUUUGUUUUUUUUUUUUAUGGUUGCACCUUGUGUUGGCACCCCUUAUUUGAAGCAAGUUGAUGUUCCAGUUGUGUUGGGGAUUUUAGGGCCAUAGCUCUUAGAACUCAAAAUACUAAUGUAAUUUCCGCACUCCAUGACAUUUACUUCUUGUCAAUGCCAAACUCUCCUCUUUUUUUUUGUGAUAUGAAAGGAAGAUCUCUCGUUGCAACAUAUAUGGUGGACACUCAAUUUGAAAGAAGGUGCAACCACCAACUUGCACGAGAGCCAUAUCAUGGUUUGAGGAGUAUAAUGAAAAUGAUGCAACUGCAAACUCUUAUGAGAGCCAUAUCAUGGUUGAGAAGUACAAUGAAGAUAGUGCAAUCAAAAAUUUGAAAAAGGUGCAAUCGCAAACUCCCAUGAGAGCCUAUCAUGGAUUGAGGAGUACAACGAAGAAGGUGCCACAAAAUGUCGAAAAAUGUGCAAUCGCAAACUUGCACGAGAGCCUAUCAUGGUUUGAGGAGUACAAUGAAGAAAGUGCAACUACCCACUUCAAUGAGAGCUUACCAAAACUCGAGAAGCCCUUUCAUUUAACUUCACAUUGACUAUUUAUUACUUCUCUCACUGUCUUCGAUCACACCAUUGUAAUCAAAUUUUUUUCUCUUGCUUUUAUUGCAAGUUGGUCCUAACGAAAUGGUGAUGGUCAAGGAAGUUACAUCUUCAAACAAAAGGUACCUCCUUAUCACUAAUAGCCAUGAUGACUCUGCUGACAAAGGAAUGAAAUUAUUGGUGCAUCCCUCUAUACAAGAAACUUACUCUGGUGAUUGGUUUUCUCACAAAUAUUCCGAAUUAAAGGAUUGGUCACUAAAAUUUUCUCAAGAUGAUGGUACAAAAGUUCACUCCUUGAAAUUCCUUAUCAUAAUAAGGAGCCAAGGACAAUUGGCAGGCGAAUCAUAGAUGAAGACACACACUGGGGUGCUUCCUUGAGAUUUAGUGAUGAAUUUGGUUAUAUCGAGAAUUAUUAGGAGCGGUUGGAAGAUAUUUUUGGAAAAAACAAACAAGUGUUUCGUGAAAAUUACUUGUUCGAUGUCUUAUAUGCUUCGCUUCUCAUAUAUAACAAAAAUUCUCAUGUGUUUAGAGCAUUUUGCGAGACAUGGUGCCUAAACACUAAUACCUUGCAUAUGUCAAUUGGAGAAUUAUCUCUCUCACUUUGGGAUCUGUGUAAAUUAGAAGGACUUCCAAUCAUCGGAUACAUCUAUGAAGAGGCGAUCCCAUGUGUAGAGGAACUAACUGGAGUUAAUGAAAAGAAGUUGAUGCAUAUUCCGCAAAAUUGUGAGUAUUUGUUCGCGGCUCUGCACUACCUUCAACAUGGAGAAUACUACAAUUAUGGAGUUUCUGCUAGCCAAUAGAUUAACUUUUGGUUUAAAGGCAACGUGAGGUAUUCAAAACCAAAACAGAGAAGGAUAAAGAGAGCAUCUAGUGCUUAAGCAACCCAAAAUCCAGAUGGAAAGAUUGGACAACCACGUAAUUUUUAAUUCAAGACAAUGGCAUAUAUGAUACCAUUGGAGACAAGUCUCACUUACGAGAAGAGACUUAUCUUGUAGCAUUUAUAUCUUGUUGACUCUACGUUUUUACUCUACCAGAUGAGGACGUCUAUUAUAUUAGACUAUCUACCUUCAAAAUGGCUAGCAUGAUGGCUGUCGGAUAUAAAACUUGCCUUGCUGUUCCUGUCUUGCUGAGUAUCUAUCACGGAUUCAAUAAAAUUUCAAAUUCAUCUACUCCAAGGUGUGCGCGUGCAUUUUUUUCAAUGCACUACGUGUAUGCUUAACUGGCGAGUUAUUUCUCUACCCAUUAUUCAACUCCGAAUAUCAUGCCUGGACCAACAAUUAUCAAUUAUUCUGGAAAGGGUGUGCACAAUAUUUUGAUGAAAAUAGUGCUUGCGACCUCAUUCAUCAAGGAGACAAAGUAACUUGGGGGACAACUUCUCUUGUGAAGAAUUAAAAUGAAUUUUUUGUUGAUGAUGGCAAGUUAGCGAACCCAGAACUGAUUUAUUUCGUAAGUGCUUGCUCAAAUUAUUUAGUCUUACAUGCUGAAGGAGAUUUUCUUGUUGAGCCAUACAGGUUUGCAAGGCAAUUCGAAUUUUAUCAAAACACCCCACAAGAACUGGGAGCAGAUGUUCAUUCUACAAAUUAUGACUUGAGUCAAAUACUUUGACACAUUGCUAUUCAUAAUAAGACAGAGUCGAAGGUAUUUUUUUCUAGUUACCCCUUGAAUGCUAACAAGCAUAUAUCUCCAGAUUUUCAAACAUGAUGUUUUGAUUAAGAGUGUCCAACCAAAUUUGAAACAGAAGAAAUCGAAAGGAAAGAAACUUGCAAAUUUGAAUAAUCCUGUCAAGGUUGGCAGUAAUCUUGAGGCGAAACAGAAAAUCACCAAGACUGUGAGGAUUGAGGAGAAAGCAUUGCAGAGCUCCAGCAACUCGUGAAAUUCUAAUUUUCAAUGAAGAAUUUUCGAAUGGUAAUUCAUUUUGUCUUCCUUCAAUAAUUGUAAAAGCCACCAAUCAUGAGUCUCGCAAUUCCAAUGAAAAGAAGAGGAGCAACUCUUUUGAUGAGAAGGAUGAGCAAUCUACUAGUACAGACUAGCACUAGAAGCAUAAGAAAUUCAAGGUAAUGACUUUCUCUUUGGAUGAUAUUGUUUUAGACCCUAAAGAAAUGUUUAAGGACAUUCUGGACAAAUAUGUGCUUGGUAUAAGUCAUGCCAAUAUUAUAAGAACAUUCUCUUGCCUUCUUUAGUUUGGCAUUUGAAAUUUACUUAUCAAUUUCAUAUUCAUGAUAUGUCUCAUAACAUUUUCCAUGUAGUUGAAUGAUCAAAACUUGAUUUUUAUUAAUGAUGGGAAAUCAAGCUAAGAAUUCGUUGAAGGACCCACUAUAUUUUAACUUUUAACAAAACAAGUGGUCAAUUCUACUCAAUAAAAGGGCAUCAUUGAAAAUUUCAAAAAGGCAGUGCAUGAUGAAAAUUCAGUUCAACAAAUCAUGCUACAGAAGAAAGAACAUGUGACUUCACCGGAGAAAAAAAAGUUCAAAAUUUUUGAUCCACAACCGUAGCCAAGGGCACCUCAAGUGUCUGAAUUUUGCCCCCAAACUAUGAUCUUAACAUGUCAUCGAGAUUACAUUCAAAUGCUCUGAAAUAAUUUGAAGGUGCUGAUAUCCGAAACAAUCCUGGAACGCAUUUCUGCUCUUAAGAUGAAAGCAAAUGAAAUCAUGGAGGAAAUGCAAAGUUUCAAUGCUAUGAAUAUUUCAAACUUGUAAGGCCUUUUAAAGCCUUUCUUUACAAAACCAAUUCGUUCUGUCGUAAUAAAGUCUUCUUUCUCAAAUAAAAUUUCAAUUGAAUCAUAUAAUGAGUUGUUUUCUAUAGCUACCCAACAUCUUAGAGAUGCUCAGAGUAAGGAGAAAUAAUAACUUAAAAAGUUCUCAACGUACAUGUUAAAAUUUAAAGAGAUUGACCAUGAGAAAAUAGAGCUAAGGAAAUGACUUGAAUCUAUGGGUACUCAUAGGAUGGAAAUACUUUCACUGCUACGAAAGAAACAAGACGAGCUUACCUAAAUGCAAGGCAAGAUGAUCAACUUAUGAAAUGAAAUUCAAAAGAUUGAAGAUUCCCUAUCUUUACUUGUUGAGGAGAGCCAAACAUUGAACAAAAUGCAAGCACUACUUGAAAGCAACUGCAAAAAACUGUCAUCAUUUGAACUUUAGAAUUAGUUACAAUCUUUUACUUUUUUCAAAUUUUAUUUAUUGUCACUUGCCUAUAUUAUAUAGCCACAGGCAUAAUUAAUUUUUUAUUUCACCAUGAAUCAUGAUUUUUUUUAUUUCAUGAUACUCUUGUGGAUAUUUCUUACUUUCCUUUGUUGCUUUCAUUAACCACCAUUUUAGACUAUCGAUUGCAAAAUAAACAAUUCAACAUUUGCAUAAUUUUAAUCACAUUUGAAGAGGUAAUUGUCUACAUAAUUUGAUAAUUUGAACAAUAUACUUUCAGGUGUAUGUUGCAAAGUAAUUUGAAUUGCCCUAAAGAGAAAAACUUUUUAUCUUUUAUUGCAUGACAUCUUUAUGGGGUUGUAACUGAAUUUCGAAGUUACCAUCUAAACUGUUUGCAUAUCCCAAAAGGGAAUAAAUUCACGUGUAGUUCCUACCAUCCACAGUUUAAUUUCUUGCAGGUCAGGAGUAUCUAUUUGCUUAUCACUUUAAACUUGGUGGAGUGUUUUAGUAGUUUAACCAUAUACUACACUAUUGGUGAUUGCCGUCCACAGUUUUAACUCAUAUGGACCAAGAGCAACAUGCAGUUUAGACUCAUGUGUCAUGAAACAACAUGCAGUUUAGGGUCAUGCGUCAUGUUGUCCUUUAUUUUUUUUAUGGCGUGUAUAAUCUUAAGAAAUUUUCAUUUAUGGGUCAACAUUUACACCAUUUUGUCAACUACCUUGUACGCGUUAUUUGUAUAAACAUUUCGGAUAAUAUAUGGUCCAUCCUAUUCGGAGACAAAUUUAUCUUUAGCAUGAUGAGUCAUAACUAUUGAUUUUCGAACGGCGAACACUAUGUCACCAAUUUGAAAGGAAUGAUGAUGAUAGCUUUAGAAAGGUAAGCCUGGUAGCAUUCAAGAUUUUGUUGAGUUUCCAAUUCCUUUUCAUCUAAAGUUUCUAAUUCUUUAAGAAGCAAGCAAAUAUUUUCUUUCUCCAUGAGCCCUUAUUGGAUGGCAAUUCUCAGAGAAAGAAUUUGUUGUUCAAGAAGCAAGACAACUUCUACACCAUAAACUAAGGCAUCAGGGGUGGCUUGCAUUGGAAUUCGAUAUGUGGUGCGAUAAACGCAGAGAGUUUCACCUAUCAUUUCAUGCCAAUCCUUCUUUGAUCUGGCCAUCACUUUUUUCAACAAGUUGCAUAGAGUUUUAUUGAAUGCCUAAACAAUACUGUUGGCAGGGACAUUAUACAUAAAGGACUUGCGAUGUUUGAAUUUAAAUUUCUCACACAACCUAUCCAUUAAACAGUUGAAGAAGGGUUUCCAUUAUCAGUGAUAAUGUGUUAGAGAAUUUCAUAACGAUAAAUAAUAUUUACACGAAUGAAAUUCACCAUAUCUUCUUUUCUCACUUGAGUGGUAUAGUUUCAUCCCAUUUAGAGAAGUAGUUGGUUGUAACCAAUAUAUAUAGAUGUUGUCCGAACGACUUAGGCAAUGGUCCAACAACAUUAAGGUCCCAGGCAUCAAAAGGCUAAGAAGUAAUAGUCAAAUGUAAUAGUUCGGGUAAUUGAUGAAUGUAAUUUGCAUAGAAUUGACAAGUUUGACACCUUUGAGCGUAUUCCAUACAAUCUUUGACCAUAGUAAGGCAAUAAUAGCCCAUCAUUUUAAUCCAAAAAUGCAACUUGGGACCGAAUUGGUGAGUUUGACAUAUUUCAAAAUGUGCCUCUUGCAUAGCUUGAUAUUCAUUAUCUUCAUUCAGACAGCGCAAGAAUACACUUUCAAAUGAUUUUUGAUAUAGCGUAUCUUUGUAUAAGAUGAAACGGGGGCACGACAAUAGAUAUCAAAUCUUUUAUGUUGCUCCUUAGGUACCUUUUGAUACUUGAUAUAAUUGAUAACAGGUUGUCUCCAAUCUUCUUUAUCAACUUCAUAAGUUGAGACGACAUAAGCAUCACCUUCCUCAAUAUUUUCAUUAUCAAAUAAUGGUGAAACUAUCCACUUUUGAUACACACGAACUUGUAUUUCAUAAUUUGACAUAGUCAGAGAAGAAGCAAGCAUAGCUAAUGCAUGAGUUUGCUUAUUUUCUCUUUUAGGGACAUGUUCAAUACUUGUACCUUCAAGUUACCUUAUAAGUUGCGUUGCAUUCUUGUGAUAUGGAAUUAAUUUAAAUUUUUUAACAUCAUAAUUUCCCAAGGGUUGACUAACGACUAAUUGUGAGUUGCCAUAGAUUUGAAACUCAAAUUAUUUCAUGUCAAUAGUUAUUUCAAGUCCGAAUAUGAGGGUUUGAUACUUAACGACAUUAUUUGAACAACGUUGAUUUAGAAUAAAGGAGUAUGGCAAAACUUCUUCAUCAGAUGUUGUAAAUACAAUUUUGACUCCAACUCCAUGACGAUGAGUAGCAGAUUUCAAUAAGGAGUACAUUUUUAUUUGGUAGAUCAUCACUUAACUCCCAUUCAACAAGUAUCGGGUGAUCAAUAAGAAAAUCUACUAGUACUUAACCCUUCACGGCCUUUUGGAAUACAUAAAUAAUUUUAAAUUAUUGUAACUAGGUACCAUUUAGCUAGACAGUUGGAUAGUGUUGGUCUACUUAUCACGUAUUUUAUGAAGUUUGCCUUGAAGAUGAGUCUCACACUGUGUGCUUGAAAGUAGUGUUUUAACUUCUAUAUUAUAAAAAUAAGAGUUAAACACAACUUUUCAAUCGGUGAGUAGUUUAAUUUAUUAGAGAUCAUCAUAAAUAAUAAAGGGCAGUUUCUUUCACUUCAUUAUUUUCUUGUGCAACCAAUACCUCCACUAAACGUUCUUGGGUAACAAUGUAAAGAAUUAAUGGCUUUCUAUAAAUAGGUUCAAUCAAGACAGAUGCCUUCAUGAGAUAAGAUUUAAUGCUAUUGAAUGUAUUGCUGUACGCUUCAUUCCAUUGGAAUGGUACACCUUUCUUCAUAAGGUGAUUAAAUGGUUGACACCUUUCAAUUAAAUUUGAGAUAAACCUCCACAGAUAGGUUAAUCGCUCUUGAAGGCUUUUUAUUUCUGAAUAUUGCGAGAUUCAGGCAUUCUCAAUAUAGCAUCAAUGUUGACUCGAUCAAUUUUAAUACCUCGAUGACAGACCACAAAAUCAAGAAACUUUCCUGAUGUAACUCUAAAUGCACAUUUGAGAGGAUUCAAUUUGAGUUGAUAUAUUUUCAACCGAUCAAAAUUUUGUUUCAAAUCCUCCAAGUGAUUAUUUCUUUUUUUUUUUAUUUAACAACCAAAUCGUCCAUAUAACAUUUAAUAUUUUUAUGAAGCAUGUCAUCAAAAAUAUUUUACAUUAAUCUUUGAUAUGUAGUUUUGAUAUUUUCAAACUAAAGGGUAUUAUGUUAUAACAAUAAAUACCCUUAGGAGUAUGAAAUCUAGUGAGUUAUUUAUCCUCAGGUGUUAUUCGAAUUUGAUUAUAGUUAGAAAAGCUAUCCAUAAACGACAAACCCUCAGACCCAAUAAUUGCAUUAAUCAUGAGUUUGGUGAUGGGUAGAGAAAAAUCAUCUUUGGAACAAGCACUGUUAAGAUCCCUAAAAUUUACGUAGAUGUGAAUUUGCCUGUUCUUCUUUCGUACAGACAUGAUAUUUGAAAUUCAUGUGAAAGACUUAAAUUCAUGAAUAAAUCCAUCAUCAGUGAAUUUAUUGAUUUCAACUUCGAUCAAAUAGACCAAAUCGGGUCUAAAUCACCAUUGUACUUACAUUACAGGUCGAACUCCCUUUUUAAUAGGUAAAUGGUGGACUGCUACUUUUGAAUUUAGACCUAACAUUUCUUUAUAAGUUCAUGUAAAAAUAUCUUGAUACUCUUGCAAGAACUCAACAUAUGUCUUCUCUUCAUCAGAAUUCAAUAAAGCACUUACCUAUAUAGGAUAUGGGUCCUGUGAAGUGCCAAAAUUGAUUUUUUAAGUCAUCUACAGUGGCCUUAACGCCUUGUUCAAAUUCAGGUGAAGCAUCUUCAACAUCUUCUUCUUCUCCAAGGGAAUUAUUAUCAAAUAUGGUUAUAUGGUUGUAUGAAACAAUACUUUCUUCAUCAUCUUCCUUUGAUCUUGUUUCUACAAUAGUAUGCUCUCUAACCUUUAGUUCAGUCCCAUAAAUUAUUAUAAGAUUUGUACAUCUCCUCAUUCUUGAGAGAAUAAUGUUACCAAACUUAUAAAUGUUAUGGGGACAAUCAAAAGAUUCUUCAAAUUCUUUCAGUGAUUUUGUCAUUCUCCAUUUAUUCUUAUGAGAAUUUUGAGACUUUUAUUUUCUUUGUGGUCCUAGUCUUUUGAAGACGAAUACUCACAGAGCCUUAUCCCUAUUUUUAUGAAAAACGUGUGACUUAUUGACUAUUUUAGAAGAUUCAUCUCUUAUAGCAAUAAAUUGACUACCAGCUCUAUUGAUUUUGAUGCGAAUUGGUACAGGUGAAAAAUAGUAAAGAUCAGAUUUAGAAUUCUUAACAGCAUAUCCUUUCCCUUUCAACAUCUUUUGAGUAAGGUUUAACCCAUAAGUCACAUCGCUAGUGGCUUGAGGAGGUUUCAAUACCAGAGAUUUCUUGAAAUCAUACCCAAUUUUGGUAAGAAGUUUAUAAGCAAUAUAAUCAAAAGCUUCAUUAAUUCUUGACGUCAGUAGCAUAUCUUGCUUGAUGUCAAACUCUUUAUUAAGAUGAUCAAACCCUUUGAUUAAAGGCGAUGGUAUAUUCGUAGCAUCAAGUUUAGCCACAGGAAGAGUUAAUCCUUUCAGAGUUUUGUGUGGAAUUGAAGAUGGUUGUCCUUGUCCCAAUCUUGACUUGGGAGGGUAUCCGAAGACAACUGAUUUAUUUUUUAACAAUGAGGCAUCAAUUUUUUUAUGAACUACCUCUUUUGAUUUUGGAAUCACCACUUUCUUCGUUUUGCACUUGAUGAUUCGAGAUCUUGGAUUUUAACCAUAGAUGGAGAUUGUUUAAACUCAUUCUUUAUGUUAUACUGAUUUAUUUUUUAACAAUGAGGCAUCAAUUUCUUUCUGAACUACCUCUUUUGAUUUUGGAAUCACCACUUUCUUCCUUUUGCACUUGAUGAUUCGAGAUCUUGGAUUUUAACCACAGAUGGAGAUUGUUUAAACUCAUUCUUUAUGUUAUAUUUUUGGAUAUAAAAUUUAGCAUUAGCGAUAUGCAUUUCUACUUCAGUGUAAAGAUUAUAAUCAGUUUUCACACUUUUUACCACUCCAUUUCGGUAAUACUUGAAAUAUUGGUGAAGAGUUGAAAGCACAACCCCAUUUUCAUGAAUCCAGGGUCUUCCCAGUAGCAUAUUAUUUAUUGUUUUAGUAUCUAUUACAUACAGUUGUGCUUUAGACAAUAUAUCAUCGAUAACUAUCUCUAAAUUUAACGAUCCAAUAGCUCUUUGCCCUCCUUGAUUAAGGUCUUGUAUUAUUAGUCAGCUUAUUGGAAAGUUUAUCAAUGGAGAUGCCAAAUUCCUUUAGAGUUUUUAAGACAAGGCUAUUGACAGCAGAACCUCUCUCUAUCAAAAUUUUAUUCACAUUUUAUUUUUUAGCAUAAACAGUUACAAACAAAGGACGGUUAUGUGAUGUUGACCCAAAAAACAAGUUGAUAGGGUGUUAAUUGUUAGUAAUUUUAUUGCUAUUUUUCCCCUUUGUCCUUGCCAAAUAUUAUUUUAAUUGUUAACAUAUACUUAUUUUUGGUAUUUGGACCAAUCUACAGGAAGUGGAACUGACAAAUGCUAAAAAGGAGAUUUUAUUGAGAAAAAUCCUUCACAUGCUAGAGCCUCCAGCGGAUAUACAAGUUGGGCCCACAUGGUGUUACAAAUUCGGUUGCUGAUGGGGAGCUCUUAUUAUUGGGAGUUGACUUGUACGUGUAGGAGUCCUCCUACCAAGAGGAAACAAGAAAAAAGGAAUUCGGCAGAGGCCCAUCUUUUGUACUUAGCUUUCUCAAUUCGGUAGGGACCAUGGACUAGAGGUUUUCAUUAGUGAUUGGACUUUAAAAGGGAAGAAACGUAUAGAGGCUUGGGGAUUAUUAUGAUUAGCGUAGCUUUAGUUUUAGUGGUUAGCUAGCGUUUCCUUUUCAUGCGCACGAGGUGCUCGACAAUAUUUUUCAACGGGAAAAAAAAACAUCUUUUACUCUUGCUUUCUAGUGAAAAACUUGAUGCCUUUGCAAUCAAUUAAUUUGCGUGGAGAUUUAAUUAUGCGGCGUGGCUAAGCCUUUUAUCUAGUCAAGGAUCAACUCGACGGCGCAGUCCCAAAUAUCUGUGAGAUCUAAUUAGUUUUCACGCGUUUCUUAAUUUGUUAAUAUUUGCAUGUUGCCUAUUUGAAUUUCCACGGGAUUAUUUUGUUAAUUGGAUAUCAAGAGCCCGAUGUUCAAUGUGACUUAUUAAUUUCCUGCCAAAUUAGUCAAUUAAAUCCGUAAUUGUUUGAUUGAUUAAUAUUAGUAGCAACUGACAUGUUUACACACUAGAAGAACGUGCAAUCUAAUUUAAAUAACCCUCGUAGCGUGUUAUUGAUUGGGAUUAGAUUUUUCUAGUUAUUAAUGCAAUUGGGAAAUUAAUUCAUACAGUUGUACCUAGGAGUAUUUUCUGGUUAGGAGUAAUCAUUGGUCGUACCUUGGUUAUCAAUAAAUUAAGGAAAAAUUGGUCGUUAGAAUUCGUCGGCGACUAUAACUAGCCUAUUAAUAAAUUAAGUGAACCUCCCUUGCAUCAAUGAUCGGGUAAGUGGACUGUGUCUGAGUAGUUGUAUUCUUAACUAAAAUUUAUCUAUUCUUGAUUUAAUUCCUGCCUAUAUUCGUGCUAAUUAAUUAUUUAUUUUUAGUGAAUUGCUUAAUUAUUUUUAGUUUUACUCCAAUAAAAUUCCUCUUUACCAAUUGGAAUCUCAAAAAGACAAAUAUUCUCAGUCCCUGAAGAGACGACCCUACUUGCCAUUGUCUACUAUUUAGUAAGUUUUGUCAACUAAUUAAUUUUGGUAUAUCGGAUUAAGCAAAUUUUUCGGGAACAGGGUGAAUUAAGUAACCUAUUGCACAUCUAGAGUCCCGGCUCUAAUAUCUAGGAUUCAUUAUUGACUGCUUUUAGUGGUAUUUAGGUUAUUAUUAUUAUUAUUGCACAGUCUCGACACCUGUCAAUUUUUGGCGUCGCUGCCAGGGACUGGCGUUAAUUAUUUGUUUUUUUAAGUUCAAUUUUGUUCUAAUUUUCUGGUAUUUUUUCUAAUUUAUGCAUCAUUCUUCUCGUAUAAGUGAAUUAAUUUUCGACCCUGAAGUAGAGAAGAUCGCGCGUAGAACGAGAAAAGAAACCAGACAAUUCAGAGAAGAGCACUCAAGUACUACAUCUCAGAGACUUGAGCCGGAAGUUGAACCGGCAAAUUCGUUUGGUAACACUUCGAGUGACUCGGAUCAAGAGAAACUCACCAUGGCAAAUGCACAAACAUUAAGGGAGUUGGCUGCUUCUAAUUUAAAUCAACAGCCUUUAUGCAUUGCUUUCCCAAGUUUGAAUGAUGACACCCUCUUUGAACUAAAAUCUGGUCUAAUUCAUCUCUUGCCAUCUUUUCAUGGUUUACCAGGUAAGGAGCCCUACAAACAUUUACAAGAGUUUGAUGUUGUUUGCAACAGUAUGAAACCCCCGGGAAUCACAGAAAAGCUGAUAAAAAUGAGGGCCCUCCCCUUCUCUUUGAAGGAUUCAGCGAAAGAUUGGCUAUACUACCUACCACCAGGUAGUAUCACCACGUGGGACCAGUUGAAAAAAAAAUUCUUAGACAAAUAUUUUCCUGCGUCUCGGGCCGCCAGCUUAAGGAAAGAGAUAUGCGGUAUCAAACAACACCCAGGCGAGUCUCUCUAUGAGUACUGCGAGAGGUUUAAGAAGCUGUGUAUCAAAUGCCCUCAGCAUCAGAUAAGUGAGCAACUGCUCAUCCAAUAUUUCUAUGAGGGACUACUCUUCACGGACUGGAGCAUAAUCGAUGUUGCCAGUAAAGGGGCGCUAGUGAACAAGACCCCUCGAAAAUCUUGGGAGUUGAUUGAGGGGAUGGCUGAAAAUUCACAGCAGUUUGGUGGGCAGUGGCGAUGGCGAAGGCUCGCGGGGGUGGAAGAGCCGUUGGCGCGACUGGGGCCGCGCGGCUGCUAGAAUCUAGUUGCAUCAGUCUCUGUGGUCCUUGGGAUCUUUGAUUCGGCUGUUCCAUAGCUUGUCGAUCCUUUGUUGCAUCCCUGUAGGCAUUGUAAUUCCUGUUGAUUGAGUUGUUAUCUAGUUUUUGAGGGCACCUCUAGUAGUUCCUUUAUUUGGGAGUUAUUUGGGGUUGAGUUGGGAGUUAUUGGCCAAUUGAUUCCUAUUUUGCUUUCGUCCUGUUUCUGGUACUGUAUGGUUUUGAUUGGGGGGUGUCUCAGUGGUUUGGGUUGCCUGUUUGAAUUGGUUCUUACCUGUGUGUGCACCAGUGGUACUGGUUGUGUUGGGAAUCCGUGACUGAUUUGUUCUUGUCCAAUUGAAGCCAUUUUGAGCAAUUUUGGGGUGAACACAUUUUGUCAUUAAUUGUUGAUUGUUGGGGGACGUUUUUGGUAACACUUGAGUUGAUAGGGUGUUAAUUAUUGGUUAUUUUAUUAUUAAUCUCCCUUUUUAUUCUUGCCAAAUAUUGCUUAAUUGUUAAUAUUUACUCAUAUUUGGUAUCUGGACUUAAUUUCAGGAAUGAAGUAGAAAACUACCAAAAAGGAGGGAUUUUAUGGAGAAUAUGGAAACUUCUAAGGGCUUCAAUUCUUGGGCCCUUGAAUUGGUGGGGACCACAAGCUAGUGAAAGGCAUUUAGUCAUUUGAGCUCUUCAAAAGAAGCUACGUAUAUUUUAUUUUAUUUUAUUUUAUUUAUUUUAUUUAUCUCUUAUUUUUUUUUAUAUAGUUUAUGGCUUCUAACACUUCGUAUUUUGGUGAUAUACUGGAUUUUGUUUCCGGGAAAGGCAAUGUGACUAGUUUUUUUGCUAAGUCUGCAUAUGCAGAGGCACUAAACUCUAUUAGAGAAAGAAUGGCUGCUGCAACCUGUAAAAUUUGUUAUACCAGGGAUCAUUCAACCGGUAUGUGCCCCGAAUAUCAAGAUAAUCUGAGUGUCCCAUUCGAUAAUUAUGGAGAAUUUUCACCCUGGUCUCAAACGUGGUACGACCCUAAUCCAAACGGGUAUGAUCAAGGAUGGUGGGAUAACUCCAAUUAUAAUUAUACAACGGGACCAAUGAAUUUUCAGCAGUAUGAGUCUCAAGAAUCGUCAUCUAUGUCAGGUAUGUCUCUUGAAGAAAUAGUUGAACCAAUAGCUACUAACACAUACCAAUUCCAACAGGAGACACAAAUGAGGAAUGAGAUGAUGAAGGAUGCAAUGAGUUAUCUGGCAGAUCAACUAUGUCUAUUGACAUCCAGAAUAAAUCGAUGGGCUUCUCAAAUGGAAGAACUGCCCUCGAAAACCAUUGUUGACCUAGAAGAAAAUGAGAGUGCAAUUUGCUUGACUAGUGAUGAGGAGAUGCAAGAGUGUCAAAAUGAAAAAUCUACAGAUACAGUUGAAAAAGAAGCCGAAAAGGAAGAAAUGGAACCCCAACCGCAACCCAUUCAAGUGAAAGAAUCCAGUGAAGAAUCAUCAAAUGUGGUGACACCACCUCCAUUCCCUAACCCGCAUUUUUUCUAACUCUUACUCUAUGAUUUCUGUUAAUGAGAUUGAUUUUGUUAUACCGGAAGUUUUUGAGUCUCAUGGCAGAAAUAAGUUGAGAGUGGAGAUGGCGAAAUAUCUUGAACCGUUGAAUGCUCUUGAUGGAGGAAUGGAUGAAGAAUUGCGAUCAAUGCUUGAUUAUGUGGCGCCAUCAACUAGUCCAUGGAAGCCCGUGGUUCGUGUGCUCAAAGAUUACUCCAUCUAUGAGGGUUACCAGGAUCAUAUUGAAGAUGAAGCAUUGAAGCGAGCUACAAGAUUUUAUCCUCCAUGAACAAGACAUAACAAUGUCUAGCCAAAGACAUUAAAGAAAGGCGUUUUUUGGGAGGCAACCCAAAUAUUGAUUUUAUUAUUUUUAGUUGUUCAAUUCUUUCGUUCUGUUGUUUCUCAUUUGGAUAGUAGUUGGUCUUGAUAUUUUUCUCCACUGUGAUCAGGAAGUGAAAUCUUGGCGUGCCCACGCGGUGUUUAGGUCUCCUGAGAUCAGAGGACGAACACCAAUCUUGGCGUGCCCACGCGGUGUUUGGGUCUCCUGAGGUCAGUGAAUGUUUUGUAAUCUUGGCAUGCCCACGCGGUGUUUGACGACCCAAAACAUGAAAAAAAAAAAGUUUCAAAAUUUCACAUUGAGAAAAUUCAAAAAUUCAAAAGGCAUUUUUCUUUUUCUUCAAAAAUUCAAAUUUUGGAAUUUCAAAUUCAGGAAAAAAUUUGAAAAAAAAACAUUGAGAAAAAAAAACCCAAAAAGAAAAAAUUAAGAUUCAAAAAAAAAAAAAAACUAUUUUUUUUUCUCUCUUUUUCUUUUUCUCUUUUCUUUUUCUUUUUUCUUUUCUUCUUUUUUCUUUCUUUCUUCCUUCACCACCGCAGCAGCUACCCCACGCGACUCUCCUCCGCCUACCCCAGCGCACAGCCCAGGCCACGCGCUCCCUCCUUCCUGCAGCCCGUCGACGAAGCCCACCAGCCACCACCAGCAGGCCGCGGCUCCUUCCCCCUUGCGCGGCCACAGCUCGCGAACCACCUCUCCCACAGCGCGCGGCCUUCUCCCUUAUCUUUUGGCCGCGCGUCAUUGGCUCGCCCAAGGGCAGCCGCCGCCGCCGUUCCUCACAGUCAAGCAAUCGCAGGCCAAAGCCCACAACCCCAGCCGGCGCCGCCCGCAGCUCCUCGUGCGUGACAGCCGUGCGACGCCGCGCCUCCCUCAGCAACAGCUCCAAGCUCCAGCUCACUCGCAGACAGCCGCGCGAUUCUCAGCCAUUCACCUCGCGCGACCCCGAGCGCACAAUUCCGCGUGCCGCCAUCGAAGACCGCCGCGCCUCUCCCUCAGCCCGCCAUUGCGCCCCACCACUGUCCCGCUGUCUACGGUUGGGCACAAGGGAGGUACUUUUAAAAGAAAUUUUUAAUUUAAAUACGAGAAUGUCAAUUUCUAAAUUCUGGGGCUGUUUAGUGAUUGUUUGGAUUUCUUGGUGGAUUUGGUUGGCCGUCUGAUUAAAUUCUUCCUUGUGUGAUAACCAGUGGUACUGGUUGGGGUCUUUCGACCAUAGUUGUUGCUUAUAUUUGGUCAGAUGUCUGCUUGUUUGAAAGUUCACGUUCUUGUGAUUGAGUUGUUGCUCAAAUUCUGAUCUGCUGUUGCUAGAACUUUUGGUUGGUUGAGUUGUGCAAUUGACUGUCCAAUUGGAGACAGUUAUUGAGAUCUUAGGUGGGAUGGUGUCCAAUUGCUAAAAUUUGUUGCUUUGUUUCGUCACUCGCACUGCUCCUAGUUUGUUCGAGUGAAAUUGGUUGGAUGUUCUUUGCCCGUGGAGUGUAACUGUUACAUUGUUUGGGGCAGUUUUUUGGUAUUGAUUGAAUUGUUGGGCGUAAAUUGCUCAGGACUUUACAUUGCUAAUUUGGUGGGCCAUUUAUUGUGCAUUACCCUUUUGAAUUGGGAGAUACCUGUGCUUAUUGGGUUUUGACUACUUGAGAUUUCUGUUGCAUCUGGGGGAUAAAAUUUGAUGACUUUUGUGCCAGUUUAUUUGUUUGGAAAUUGUUGGGGGUAAUUUGGGAGUUACUUGUCAAUUGGGUCCCGUGUUACCCUCUACCAUUCAGUGGUACUGAUUGGUGUGUUUGGCUUUAUCACAUGUCUUGGGUUGGCCAUUUGAUUUCAAUUUUCCUUGUGCAUGCACCAGUGGUACUGGUGAGGGUAGUUUACAUAAUAUUUGUUACUCCUGUGUUAUUGGUUGCCUAAUCGACUACUGGGCAUUUGUGGUUGAAUUGUUUCUGUCCAACUUCUGAACUGUUGUUGCUGGAGUGCCAUUUUCUUGGGUCAAUUGCUGAUUUUAGCAAGUUGAAGUGGGUAAUUGACUGUCCAAUUGGAGACAGUUGUUACGAUAUUGGGUCCGAUUGUGUCUAAUUGCUGGAAGUUGUUGAUUUAUUAAGACACUAGCACAGUUCCUAGUUUGUUCGAGUUGCUGUUCUGUUGCAUUAUUGGGAGCUGUGCUCUAGUAUUGUGGCUACUUUCCUGCGUUUAUUUGUUGAAUUGGGAUAUGAAUGUGCCUAUUGCUCAUUUUGUUGCAUCUAAUUGACUUGCUUGGGGUAAUCUGCCCAUCAAUUUUAAUUACUCAAGUCUUUGGAGCAGUUGUUGCACAUUUGGACUACUUUGUUUCUAUAUCUGACUGAAUUGGGACCACAAGUGCUUAUCAAUUGCAUUUGCUAUAAGUAUUGGGGUAUUCGUAUAGAUUUUAGGAGCCUGCAUUGUGCAUUUUAUUGUUUGGGUUGCCUACUAGUUACCAUGGUGAAGCCACGAUCCUCCCCCAGGGGCCGAUGACUGGCUCCAACUUUCGAUGACAGUUGAGAGACUGGAGACUCGAGUGACCCACAUUGACAUCGACUUGCAUAACAUGGCGCAGAAUUUGGCAGCACUCCGCCCGACCCGCCCCUGUUUUGACAAUUUCAAGGAAGUACCGUUGCCCUUCUCUUUACUUUUGUUGUUGGUUUAUCACAUUGAGGGCAAUGUGUGAUUUAGGUGUGGGGGGAUCAGUUUGGGUGCUAGUAUUUUUAGUUUUUAGGUUCUAGAGGUUUUUCUUUUGUUUUAGUUUGAUAUUUAGUUCUUUUUUUUUCGUCUAUUUUAUUUUAUUAUUAUUAUUUUUUUUUCUUUCUCCUUUUUUCUAGUGGUCAGUCUUCAUAUGAAUACCAAGUUUGAUACUGGAUUGUUGUCUCUAAUUCUGCUAUUGCCAAGUCUUAUUAAUAAAAGGGUAUUAAGUUAAUGUGCUUGAGUUCAGGAAUAUCUCUUUGGUGAAUAUCGGUAAUUGCUUAACUUUUUCAAUUUUUGGUUAACUUUUCUAGGCAUAGGGAAUGAUUGUUGGCAUUUUUCAUGUGAAUUGGUUCAGUUAUUAAUUUUAGUUCUCCAUGUCUGGAAAUUUGAGGCUGGCUGCUGUUAAUCUUAUGUUGCUUUUAGAUAUCGUGUUAUAUGGUUGUAAAUAAGAGUUGACUGUACUCCGCUAGUGGUUACUACUGAGUAACCGGGGAUUUUCACCUAAAGUGUCGAUUCUCGCGUCAAAAGGUAGUAGUUGCUAUGAAUGCGUGGUCCUGUAGCGAUCGGAGCUGAGUAACCGGGCUCCUCCAUCUGAUAAAUGUUGGAGUUCGCGUCAAAAGGCUCUAAAUGGCUAGAGACUAAGUCUUUUGCUAUUCCCAAAAAAAAAAAGAAAAAAAACAAGUAAAGUUUGUGUUAGUAUUUAAAAAAAAAAAAAAGAAAGUCAGCUUGCCUAUUUGUGAUCUUAAUGUCGAGAUUUUGGUUAAUAGAUGGACCAUUUGCUGAUAAAUGUGAGCAACCAUUCCUUUUCCUUAGAUUAGUUUGCUUCAAAUUGAAGGAGUUGGUGGUUUAGAGGCUAAUCGGGGUGAUUUUUCUUGGAUGUUGACCUGUGAUGCUUGAUAUUUAUUUUUCUUGGACAUCUUGGCAAUACGGUAGUUGGAGUAACAGCCAUGGUCAACUUUUGGUGUUCAAUUGUUGUUCCCAUACUUGAGGGCAAACAUGAUUUAGGUGUGGGGGGAAUUGAUAGGGUGUUAAUUAUUGGUUAUUUUAUUAUUAAUCUCCCUUUUUAUCCUUGUCAAAUAUUGCUUAAUUGUUAAUAUUUACUCAUAUUUGGUAUCUGGAUUUAAUUUCAGGAAUGAAGUAGAAAACUACCAAAAAGGAGGGAUUUUAUGGAGAAUAUGGAAACUUCUAAGGGCUUCAAUUCUUGGGCCCUUGAAUUGGUGGGGACCACAAGCUAGUGAAAGGCAUUUAGUCAUUUGGGCUCUUCAAAAGAAGUUACAUAGAGAGACUUGGAGAAAGAAGUACUUUGGAGGCUUUGUCCAUAUGUGUGGGGACCACCUAGAUAGCUUUUAGUCAUCUUUCUUUUGUUGCUUUAAAAGGGGACAACGUACAGAAGCAAAGGACAUCUAGGGCUUUAGUUUUAGUUUUUUUAGUUUAGUUCUAGUUUCCUUUCUUUGGACUGGCCUCUGACACACGCCAGGUGUUCGACAAUAUUCCCCAACGGGAAGAUUUUCUCAUGAGGCGUGGUUAAGCUUUUCUAGUCAAGGGGACAACUGACGAUUUGGUUCGACAAUUACUGUGAGAUCGAAUCUGUUUUAAUUAUUUUCUUCAUUUAUUGGUAUUUAUAUGUUCCUUGAUUUUAAUUGCUAUGGCCUUGUGUAUGAUUGAUUAGUGCGCAAUAAUUAAUUAUUCAUAUAGGCUAUUUUUGCUAAAUAGGGGUAAUUGAAUCCGUAAUUGUUCGUUAUCUCUACCUCAGUAGCAACUGGCGUAAAUGGGUUUAUGUCAGGGGAGCAUAUGAUCUAAUUUAAACAAACCCUCGUAGCGUGUUUGUUGGUUAGGAUUGGGCCUUUCUAAUUAUUAAUGCAAUCUAGAAAUUAAAUCCUACGGUCGUACCUAGGGUUGUUUUUGGGUUAGAGAAAUAGCUAACGGUCGUACCUUAGCUAUCGAGAAAUUAAGGAAGGGUUGGUUGUUUAUCGCGUGCAUGACAACUAUAACUAAUCUAUUGCUAAAUGUUGGAAUUAUUUCUGCAUCAAUGAUCAGUGCAUGAACCAUUUCUGAUGUGUACCCUUGGCUAGAGUUUCCCCAAUCAUUUCUUUUAAUUAAUUAUUUUCUGCAGUUAAUUUAUUUAGUUAGCAUUUAAUCCAAAACCCCCCAUACUUUGGACUCUAGAAGAAACGAAUUAUCCCCAAUCCCUGUGGAUUCGACCCUACUCACCGCUAUAUACAAAAUCUGUAUCUUUAUUGAGUAGGUAUUUAUUAUUGUACAGGUUCGGCACCUGUCAAUUUUGGGGUGAACACAUUUUGUCAUUAAUUGUUGAUUGUUGGGGGACGUUUUUGGUAACACUUGAGUCUAUUUUGCUGAGUUCUGUUGAUAGAGCAGUUAUUUGGCACAUUUUACAGUGUUAUUUUGUCCUAAUUUUGGCUAUUCAUGGUGUUAAGAAUUGGAAUAUCACUCAUAUUUGAUGUUUGUGUGAAUUGUAGGUGGUCGGCAUUAAAAAUGACCUCUCAAGGCAAAUUUCUAGAAGACUCUUCGUCUCAGAGCAUGGCCACGCCAGAGAAGGUCGAUGUUACCGAAAAGCCGGACCCCGGUCCACGUGAACCGCAAGGAGCACGGGAUUAAAGCUCUAAAAGGCUAGCUUUUGUUUCAAUCAAUUGGGUCAGACAUGACUUGGCUCCUAGAGGCUUCAAUUAAAAAAGAAAAGAAAGGGCCAGACGUCGAGGGAAUGAGAAUGAGGAAACUAGGUCUACAUGGACCAGCUACACGGGAUAAAAACUCCAAUGAAGAGAAGAGCUCUGCUCCGCGUGGAUUUCCCCUGCGGCACUAUAUAAGACAACAAAAAAGGUGAUGCAGCGGAGAAUAUAGAUUAGCUUUGAUUUUCUUUUCGAGAGGGGUCAGGCGAUUGCAGACUUUUGUAGCUUUUCGGUUGUGACACUUGGACUCCUUGGCUUUUGUUUUGACUCUGCACAAUUUACGUUAGUUUUUGUUCGUACACUUGCGGCACCAAAGCAAAGACGAAGGCAGUGCCUUCUCUGUUGUUACUGCAAUUAAUUCCCCUUCCCCAAUUUUCGGCGAAUAAUUGAAUGAAUUCAAUUAAAUCACGCGGGAUUGACACGAUAAGGAGCGGCUAAUUUUCUCCUCUACCCAAAGGUUGACGCGAAGGCGCGGUCCAUAAUAUCUGUGAGAUCUAAUCGAAUUUUCAUUAUUUCUUUCAAUUUAUUGCUAUUCGUACGUUUCCUGAAUUAAUUGUUCAUGAGUAUUUUACUAAUUGAAUAUCAACGGCCGGGUAUUUGAUUUAAUUUAAUAGUCUACUGCCACGUUAAUUAAAUAGAAUCCGUAAUUGUUCAUUUAGUUAACACCUCGUGGCAACCACCAUAAUUGGCUUUAUGAUGGGAAAACGCAAGAUCUAAUUUAAAUAAACCCUCUUAGCGUAUUUAUUGGUUAGGGUUGGAUUCUUCUAGCUUUAAUGCAAUUGGGUAAUUAAAUUCUCACGGUCGUACCUAGGGUUGUUAUCUGGUUAGAGAAGCAGUCAAUGGUUGUACCUUGACUAUCGAAAAAGUAAGGAAGAACUGGUUGUCAGAGCUUAUUGAUAACUAUAACCAACCUAGUGAUGAAUGGAUGAAAUACCUUUGCAUUGAUGAGCAUCUGUCUUGAGUCCAUUGAAGUGCCGUUGGUUGAGUAAUUUCUGCGUCUUUUUGUUGAAUUGGAAGGCUAUUGUGACACUUCCAUUGCACUUUCGGAAUGCAUUGUUUCUGUAUUUGACUAAAUUCAGGCCACCAGUGCUUCUUGAUUGCAAUCACUGUGCUGUUGGGGUAUUUGUACAGCUUUGAGUACCUGAAUUGUGUUUGUGUUGGUUGGAGUACCAUUUAUAGAGAAUGGUGAGACCUAAAUCCUCCUCUAGGUCUAGGACACCUAGAACUUCUCAGCCUCCUCCCACCCUAGGGGCUAACGAUUGGCUCCAACUCCGAAUGCAAGUUAAGAGACCGGAGAUUCGAGUGACCCACAUUGACAUCAACUUGCAUACCAUGGUGCAGAAUUUGGCAACAAUUAUGCACCAUGCGGGUCUUGUUCCUCAGUUUCCGUCUGACCCACCCCUGUUUUGACGACUUCAGGGAAGCACCGGUGCUCUUUUGCUUACUUUUGCUAUUAAAUUAUCACAUUGAGGGCAAUGUGUGAUUUAGGUAUGGGGGGGAUCAGUUGUGGUACUAGUAUUUCCAGUUUUUGAUUUUUAAGUGUUUUUCCUUUGUUUUUAGUUUGAUAUUUUUCUCUUUUUCGUUUAUUUCUUUUAUUCGUGAUCAGCUCUUAUUUGAAUACCAAGUUUUGAUGUUGGAUUGUUGCCUCUAAUUCUGCUCUUGCCAAGUUUUAAUAAUAAAAGGGUAUCAAGUUAAUAUGGUUGAAUUCAGGAACAUCUCUUUGGUGAAUAUCAAUAAUUGCUUAACUUUUCCAAGUUUUGGUUAACUUUUCUAGGCAUAGGGAAUGAUUGUUGGCAUUUUUCAUGUAAAUUGGUCCAAUUAUUAAUUUUAGUUCUCUAUGUUUGGAAAUUUGAGGCUGACUGCUGUUAUUUUUAGUUAUUGUGUUAUAUGAUUGUAAAUAAUAGAUAACUGUACUCCAUUAGUUGUUACUACUGAGUAACCGGGGAUUUUCACCUAAAGUGUCGAUUCUCAUGUCAAAAGGUAGCAGUUACUAUGAGUGCGUGGUCCCGUAGCGAUUGGAGCUAAGUAACCGGGCUCCUCCAUCUGUCAAAUGUUGGAGUUCGCAUCAAAACGCUCUAAGGGUUAUAAACUAAGUCUUUUGUUAUUCAAAAAAAAAAAAGAAAAAAAGAAGCAGAAGAAAACAAAAGAAGCAGAUUGUGUUAGUAUAUGAAAAAGUCAGCUUGCCGAUUUGUGAUCUUAAUAUCGAGAUUUUGGUUAAUAGUUGGACCGUUUGCUGAUAAAUAUGAGCAACCAUUCCUUUUUCUUAGAUUAGUUUGCUUUAAAUUGGAAGAGUUGGUGGUUGGGAAGCUAAUCGGGGUAAUUUUUCUUUGAUCUUGACCUGUGAUGCUUGAUAUAUGUUUUUCUGGAUAUCUUGGCAAUACGGUAGUUGGAGCAAUAGCCAUUGUCAAAUUUUGGUGUUCAAUUUCUGCUCUCAUGCUUGAGGGCAAGUAUGGUUUAGGUGUGGGGGGAAUUGAUAGGGUGUUAAUUGUUAAUAAUUUUAUUGCUAUUUUUCCCCUUUGUCCUUGCCAAAUAUUAUUUUAAUUGUUAACAUAUACUUAUUUUUGGUAUUUGGACCAAUCUACAGGAAGUGGAACUGACAAAUGCUAAAAAGGAGAUUUUAUUGAGAAAAAUCCUUCACAUGCUAGAGCCUCCAGCGGAUAUACAAGUUGGGCCCACAUGGUGUUACAAAUUCGGUUGCUGAUGGGGAGCUCUUAUUAUUGGGAGUUGACUUGUACGUGUAGGAGUCCUCCUACCAAGAGGAAACAAGAAAAAAGGAAUUCGGCAGAGGCCCAUCUUUUGUACUUAGCUUUCUCAAUUCGGUAGGGACCAUGGACUAGAGGUUUUCAUUAGUGAUUGGACUUUAAAAGGGAAGAAACGUAUAGAGGCUUGGGGAUUAUUAUGAUUAGCGUAGCUUUAGUUUUAGUGGUUAGCUAGCGUUUCCUUUUCAUGCGCACGAGGUGCUCGACAAUAUUUUUCAACGGGAAAAAAAAACAUCUUUUACUCUUGCUUUCUAGUGAAAAACUUGAUGCCUUUGCAAUCAAUUAAUUUGCGUGGAGAUUUAAUUAUGCGGCGUGGCUAAGCCUUUCAUCUAGUUAAGGAUCAACUCGAUGGUACAGUCCCAAAUAUCUGUGAGAUCUAAUUAGUUUUCACGCGUUUCUUAAUUUGUUAAUAUUUGCACGUUGCCUAUUUGAAUUUUCAAGGGAUUAUUUUGUUAAUUGGAUGUCAAGGGCCCGAUGUUCAAUAUGGCUUAUUAAUCUCCUUCCAAAUUAGUCAAUUAAAUCCGUAAUUGUUUGAUUGAUUAAUAUUAGUGGCAACUGGCGUGUUUAUACACUAGGGGAACGUGCAAUCUAAUUUAAAUAACGCUCGUAGCGUGUUAUUGAUCGGGGUUAGGUUUUUCUAGUUAUUAAUGCAAUUGAAAAAUUAAUUCCUACGAUCGUACCUAGGAGUAUUUUCUGAUUAGGAAUAAUCAAUGGUCGUACCUUGAUUAUCAAUAAAUAAAAGAAAAAUUGGUCGUUAGAAUUCGUCGGCGACUAUAACUAGCCUAUUAAUAAAUUAAGUGAACCUCCCUUGCAUCAAUGAUCGAGUAAGUGGACUGUGUCUGAGUAGUUGUAUCAUUGGCUAGAAUUUAUCUAUUCUUGAUUUAAUUCCUGCCUAUAUUCGUGCAAGUUAAUUAUUUAUUUUUAGUGAAUUUUUUAAUUAUUUUUAGUUUUACUCCGAUAAAAUCCUCCUUUAUCAAUUGGAAUCUCAAAGAGACAAAUAUCCCCAGUCCUUGAGGAGAUGACUCUACUUGCCACUGUCUACUAUUUAGUAAGUUUUGUCAACUAAUUAAUUCUGAUAUAUCGGAUUAAGCAAACUUUUCGAGAAUAGGGUGAAUCAAGUAACCCAUUACACACCUAGAGUCCCUGCUCCAGUAUUUAGGAUUAAUUAUUGACUGUUUUUAGUGGUAUUUAUAUUUUUAUUAUUAUUAUUGCAUAGGCUCGACACCUGUCAAUUUUUGUGAUGUUGACCCAAACAACAAAGGACGGGUUAUGUGAUGUUGACCCAAAUAACAAGUCUUCACUAGUGAAUGUGAUAUUUGUGAUAUCCACCUCUUUAUUACCAGUGGGCACGUGAGUUAUCUCACAAGGAGAUUCGCGAGUAUCAUCCUUUGUUCUUCAAUAUCAUCAACUUGCGUUGUGUGACAUGAGACCAUAUCAAUAUCAAAGAAUCUUUUAGAUAUGAAUUCUUUUAAAAUGAUAGAAACUCGCGACUUUUGCUUGAAUACUUGAUUUUCUUGAAGAUUGUGAUUAUUAUUAUUUUUCUCUAUAUUCUUCUCUUUUCUCUUCCAGACCAUUCUACUUCUUGUUAAGGCCUUGUUUACCUUAUUAGAUGGACGAGAGUUUCAUCUUCAUCUUCGCGUGAUCAGAGUUCAUCCAUCAUCAUCUACGUCUGAUUGUAAUGACUUCUCAUCUUCAUAUUCAUAUUUUUGAAGAGCUGAAGGGGCGAUUUUUUGUUCAACUUCUAUAGGAUCAAAUGAUCCAAAUUGAAUGGUUGGCAAUAUAGGUAUCGUAAACUUUUCGACUUCCAUGGACUGUAGUGAAUCAACGGAGGUUUGAUUCAUACUUGCUUUGUUUUUUUCAAGAAAAUUUUUUUCUUGUCUUGCCAAAUCCAUCAUCUCAUCUUUAAAGACAAAGUAUUUUUGAAUGGGAUGUCCAACCAAGCAAUGAUACUUGAUUUGGAUCAUCCGUAUUACUAAUCUCGUCAAGUCAGUUCAUCUUGGAAGCAUGAUCAAGUUCAUGCUUAACAAAUUAUCAAAUAUACUAGGAACAUCAGAAUCAAGGAAAUUGUACUUCUUGUUUUGCAUCUCCUUGAGUGUUGGUUUUUUCUUUCCUUCGUCUUGAUGCAUACUGGUUUUCUUGUCUUCUCUUUUAGCAGUUCUGAGAAUAAUCUUGAAAGGUGUUAUACUUGCAGCUAUGGCCUCUUUCUCACUUUGAUUGGGGGCUUGCCUCCUUUCCUCACUUCUUGUUUCUCCUUAGCCUUGCGAGAAUCAGGAAUUGGCGGCUCUUGUCCAUCAAGGUUAAUUUCUAUCUUAUGAGUUUUUGGGGAUAAUUCAUCAAAUAUUUCUGGUUAUACCCCUUACAAGAUAUAUCUGAAUCCCCAAUGCAAGUCUUGAAUACACAUCUCAAUAGCGGAAGACUCGAAAAUUCGAUCCUUACAGUUUAGGCUUAGAUUUUUUCGAGCGAUUGAUAAAGUUAAUAACAUGUUCAUUCUUUCACUAGCACAUAUUUUAGAGUUCAAUUAUGCUGACAGUCCUUUUCGUGCUAUAGAAGCAAUUAAGGAAUUCCUACUCUAAUUGCUCCCAACUGUCAAUGCUGCUAGAUUCUAAAUCUGUGUACCAAUCAAACGUGUUACCCUUCAAUGAGUGAACAAAUUGCUUAACUAGCAAGUCACCAUUAGUGCCAGCAUUGUUACAAUUUUCGACAAAGUGCGCAAUAUGUUGUUUAGGGUUACCUUUGUCAUCAAAUUAUUGAAACUUUGAAAAUUGAAAUCCUACAAGCAUCUUCAAACAUUUACUCUUGUGGUGUAAGGUUUGAUAUAAUUGCUAUAUGACUUGGUAUUUCCACCAAUCUUGUCCUUGAUCGUACCUUUGAUAAACUCCUUUAAAUUAUCAACAUGAAUGGUACUAUCAGGAGAGAUUGAAAACUCCUUCAUUAUUCGUGACUUGGUAUCCUCUUUCUCUUUCUUCCUUGAUGAUGAGUUACCUUCAUAUUUUUUACCAUGGCCAUUAGUUUGGCUAUUUUGGCAUCUUGACUUUGCACGUGCCCUGCUAGCCCUUCGACAAUUUGGCAAGAUUUGAAAUUUGAUCUCUACGGUUGUGGUGUUAGUCAUCAUGAUGGGCAUUACCACAGAAGUAGCUAAAUUGCUUGAGCUAUCAGCAGAUUCAUCAUGGACUCCCUUCUUGUUGGGAAAAAUCUCAAAAUUUUUUCUUUCAACCACAGCAUUCGCCUUAACCCUAUCUACUAAUUUCUUAGCCUUGCUCCUUGUCAUAGGUGUAGUAUACUGCAUCUCCUGAGUUGUUGGGAUGCCAGCAACUGAGCCUUCAAGAGCAAAACUCAUCUUCUUGGACUCCAUUGAUUCUUGAAACAAGUAAGCUAUUCAAAGAAAAGAGAUGAAAAACAGAGAUGGUCCCACCAGACGUGUCAUAAAAUUUGUGAGCAUAAAUUUUGUUGCCUAAAAUAAAGACAAGAAAAUUUGCAUAAAUAUCAAAUUUAUUAAAUCAAAUAAUAAAUGGGUUAUAAUUUUUGAAAAUUCUUGAAUUAAAGAUAUUAAUCUUCUAAUUCUUCUCUUCAAAAACUUCAAUUGAAGGGUUGAAAAGACUUGUUUACCGAUCAAGAGGGUGUUUCCUACGAUUUUGACAUAGAAAACCGCUGAUUUGAUGAUGACGUUAAAUAGUUGAUGUUGGGUUUGGAUUUUAUUCCACCAAUCGUUCAUUUUGUUGGAUUUGAGUUUUAUACCACCAACUGUGGGAUAAAACCCAAUCCCAAUAAAAUGAACGGUUGGUGGGAUAAUACUCAAAUCCAAUAAAAUGAAUGAUUGGUGGGAUAAAAUCCAAACCCAACACUUGUAUCUUUAAAUCUUCAAUGUCGAUAGAAGGAGGAUUUAUUUUAACUUGAUUUGGAUUUGAAUUUAAGGGAAAAUGCUCUCGAGAGAAUUUGACAGAAUUUCUUCAAAAUUUAGAAAUUUCAAUGUGUUUUUGUACUAAGAGAAUACCUUUAUUUAUAGGCAAAAUAUGUAGAUUAUGUCUUCAAGAAAAUUCUCCAGAACCUUCUUGCGUUUGGGUAACUUGUACCUCAAGAAACUCAUUUAACUUAGGUUUAAAUAGUGGGCCUAUUCAAAUAAUCCAUUGUGAAUUAAUACAUCAAUUAAUCCACUUUAAUUUAAAUGGGUAACACAUUGAUUUGAUUUGAUUUAAUAGCCCAUAUAUCAUUGGUCUAUUUUGUCAAUCAAAACAUAAUAGACUGCUAUAAUUUAAUUUAAUGUAAUCAAGAUCAAUUUAAUUUAUUUAAUCUUGACUAAAUAAAUUUUCUUUGUCUACAGCAUGUACGUGUAAUUUUCCAAAUAAUGAUACUUUUCAAAGAGAGUUUUCAAAUAAUGAAAGUUCUAAAACAAGGCAUUCACCGAAUGCGUGAAUGUAUCUUUUUAAACAACGCAUUUAGUCAAUACGUUUUUAAGGAAAAAUGCCUAUACAAAUAAAAGAAUGAAUUCUAUAAAUGUGUCUUUUGAGGAAACAACACAUUUACUAAGUACGUUUUUUCACUCUUUGGGAAGAAGUUCAAAAAACACCACCAUUUGAAAGGUAAUUUUAGAAAAUCCCACUUUUUGAGAAUUUACUCAAGCUUGUACUUGACAAAAUGUGUUGGGAAAAUUGUGACGUCAGGUGAAUUGUAAAACUGUUGUGCCAUCGUAAUGUAUGUUUUGCACUAGAUUGAGUAAGAAUUAUAUCAAAAUAGUCGGCCACAAUAUAGGAAUGUGAAAACUUUGUGUUAAGUAAGUUGUAAUAUUUUUGUAUCAUCUAACGUAUAUUUGAAAACGAUUGAGAAUAUAAUAUAUGGAAACAACAGGUCACAAUGUUGAAAUGUCAAACCUCUUGUUUCAAACCAAAUACUUAUUAAACUCCUUCAUAUCGCUAACGAAUUUUGAUUCUGAAGUAAUAAUAGUUUUAUUUAAUUAUUUGCCUUUUUUGGAACAAUAUUAAAAUGUAGCCAUAAAUUUAAAUUCCAAAAUUGUUGAAUACUUGAGGAAUUCUAGAAAUGGCACUGAGAGUCAAAGUUCACCUUAUUCAAAAGUCACCAGCCAUCUCAGAGUGCAUGUUUCUAUUGAGUUUCAGGUUCAAUGUGUACCCACUUCCACUUUUGGCUGAUCAAUCAGGACUAAGGUUCCGUUUGAUAAAACUGAAUCUGAAUUCUGAAAUCUGAAUACUGAAACAAUUAAUUUGCUGAAUUUUAAGUUCUGAAAAGAAAUAUAUGAAUGUCUGAAUUUUAAUGUUAAAUCUAUUUCUACUGUUUGAUAAACAUUUAUAACUGAAUGCUUAAUAAGUUAAAUUUGACAAAUUUGCCCUUAAUCUUUUCAUCCAAAAAAGAAGUAGAACCUAUGAUUUAAUUAGGUAAAAAUGUUAGGUAUGAAAAUGACAAUAUUUAUUUUUAAAUCAAAUUAAUAUAAAAGAUGAAAUAUAUUAUAUGCGGAGUGGAGAAGAUGUAAAAAUCAUUCAAAAUGGAGAAAAAAGAAAUAGAAAAUCAUUAGAUAGAGAAUAUUAGAUUGUUUAAUUAGAUAAGAAUUUUGAACAUAAUUAACAAACAAUGGUAGAUUUGAUAGAUAAGAUAAGGUAAUUGAAGUAAUUCUAUUGAUUCUUAUCAGAAUUAAGUAUUCAGUUAGGAUUUUUGUGCUGAAAAAAAUACACACAAUUUCAGCACUACUUAACAAGUUCAGCAAAUAGAUUUUCAUUUAUCAAACAUUCAAAACAUCUAAAUGUCUAAAAAAAUUUAGAUUCAACACUUUUUUAUAUUAUUAAACAGACCCUAAGAGAAUAAAAUAACUUGCUUGCUGUUAGCGAUGGCAACGGGGCGGGGUUGGGGCGGGGGACCCCUCCCCCGUCCCCCGCCCCGUUGCCUAUUAGUUCCCCCUGUCCCCCGCCCCCCCCCCCGCUUCCCCCGCGGGGUUAAUAAAAUUUUAUUAUAAUUAAAUUUUAAUAAAUAAUCAAUUACUAAAAUAUCAACACAUCACCAAAUUAUUAUUCAUUGUAAUUUUACAAUUAAAACUCAUAAAAACAAUCAAACAAAAGUUAUUUGAAUACAAUCCAAUAUGAUGAAAUAAAUAUAACUAAAAUAGUUAAGUUUUCGCUUUUAGUACAAAUGCAAUCACUAAUUCAUUAUUGUGUUUGUGCUUUUCUUUUGAGAAAAAAGUGUUAUUCUAUUAAGUGUAAUUAGAAAUUUAGUAUAAAUGUAUUAGUAAAUUUAGUAUAACUAAUUAAUAAAUUUUAUUAGUAGACAUGUAUAAUUAUUCAUAUAAUUGAUAAUAUCAAUUAUAUUACAUAAACUACUAUACAUUAUAUAAUACAUCUAACUAAUAAUAUCAUUAUCAUAAGUUUAUAACUAAUUAACUUACAUAUUAUAUAUAAUUAUAUAUAUAUUUUUUUUAGGGUGGCGCGGCGGGGGAUGGGGCGGGGGUAUACUCCCCCGUCCCCCGCCCCGUUUCUAAGCGGGGGGAAAAAUUCCCCCCCCCGCCCCAACCCCCGCCCCGAGAGCCCCCCGUGGGCACCCGCCCCCAUUGCCAUCCCUACUUGCCGUUUUUAAAAAAGGAUUCAUUAUUUUUUCUUUGAGCAUUGGUAUCUCCACCCUCAAUGACACUAAUCUGGAUUCAAUAUGAGGAGUGUCCGUAGAGGCUGACUCUUACUCGAGAGUAAAGACUUGACCCAGAGCUUUUCAAGGCGUCAUCAUAUGUAGGAGUCAAACUUAUGAACUCUGUGCAUAGAUAAUUUAGCUCCAGUCUGUGGAAUGUCUUGAUGUUAGGUGAGUUGUAAUAUUUUGGUAUCAUCUAAUGAAAUUUUUAAAAGAUUGAGAAAUAAUAUAGAGCAAAACACCAAUUUAUUCCCUAAAUUAUUUUGCUAAAAUCAAAAUACUCCGUAAAUUUAUUUUGAGUCAGUUUAGUCCCCCAACUAUUUUUACAAAGCUGAAAUAGUCCUUAAACUUUAUUAUGAGCCAAUUUAGUCUCUCAACUAUUUUGUUUAAGUGAAAUAGUACCCCACCUUUAUUUAUUUGGCCAGUUUGGUCCUUGUUUGACUCAUCCACCCAAUUUAUCAACCUUGUGCACUAACAAUCAGGGGCAAAAUAAGAAAUUUAGUCAAUGCCCUUACUAAAAUGAUAGAAGAAUUAGAUAUCUGGCAAAAUUAAAAACAAAAUUGAAUCAUAUAGAGAACAAAAAAAUAUAGUGUUUCUUAUGGAGGAAAAAAAUGGAGCUGAUGCCUAAAAUCUCACAUGGAUCCAACUCAGUCCAUUGAAUGGAGAAAAGGGAAAAUAACACAACAAGAAUAUGUUAAAAGUUGGAAAAUGUGCUAUAAUUAUGAUUACUCCUUUAAGAAAUAAAGCUGAAAGAAGCUCAAUUUCUUUUUGUUUUCCAUAUUAUUCAAUUUCGUUGUCGAUUUUUCGAUAGAUGUAUGUUUUUUUUUUUGUUUUAAUAAGGGCUAUGAUUGGAUUUCCUAUUAUGCCAUUGGCUGUCGAUGCUACACUUGAUAAAUUAGAUGGAUCAUCCAAAUAAAGACAAAAUUGGCUAUGUAAACAUUAGUGAGGGACUAUUUCAGCUUAAGAAAAAUAGUUGAGGGACUAAAUUGGCUUAUAAUAAAAUUAGGGACUAUUUCAGCUUUGUAAAAAUAGUUGAGAGACUAAAUUGACUCAUAAAAUGUUUAGGGACUAUUUUGACAUUAAGGAAAUAGUUUUGGGACUAUAAACAUUAGGUCACAAUGUUGAAAUAUCAAAACCCAUGUUUUGGACCAAAACUCAUAGAACUUCUUCACGUCGCUAACGAAAUUUGAUUAUGAAGUAAUGCUAAUUUUAUUUAUUAUUUGUUUCCUUGCUGGUCUUCUGUCUUUUUGGUUAUUCCAAAAUUGUUGAAUAUUUAAACGAAUUCUAGAAAGGGCACUGAGAGUCAAAGUCUUAUUCAAACAGCCAGCUAUCUCAAAGUACAUAUUUUUUUAUUAUCAGGUUCAAUAUGUAUCUAUUGCAAUUUUUGAAUGACCAGCCAUGACUAAGAGAAUAAAAUAAUUCACUUGCUGUUUUUAGAUAUGAAUUCAUGACUGUCAGUAGUCUAUAAAUACACUUAUUGCUCACCACUCUUUGCACCGCAAAAUCUCUUCAAGAUCCAACAAACCCUCCUGUUCUUGGUCUUUGUCCAUUUGUGAAAAAACAAAUUAAAGCGUCAUGGCCCCUAUCACUUGUAGUGCUGAGAUGACCUCCCCAAUCCCUCCUGCAAGGUUGUUCAAGGCCGCCAUCCUUGAUGACCACCCUUAAUGCCACAGGCUAUUAAGAGUGUGGAAAUCCUUGAAGGAGAUGGUGGCGUUUGAACCAUUGAGUUGAGCACAUUUGGUGAAGGUUAGAUGUUAUAUUAAAUGUAGAACCCCAAAUUUAAGGAUCUAAUAAUAAUCAAUGCGUGCAGGGUUACAGAAUUGGAGGGAUAAAACAAAUACUCAAAAUAUACGUGGAAGAAAAGAAAAAUAAUAAAUUCAACUCACAAUAUUAUUGAAAUUUCAAACAAUGAAGAAAAUCAUACCACAAUGAAUUCAACUGGUUCUAAUAAUAAUCAAAGCAUACAAGGUUACAGAAUUAAAAGGAUAAAACAAACACUCAAAAUAUAUGUGGGAGAGAAGAAAAUAAUAAAUUCAACACACAAUAUUAUUGAAAUCUCAAACAAUGAAAAAAGUCACACCAUAAUAGAAAACCUUGCUAAUGCUUCUAGAUUCUUUCUCUUGAGAAACCAACCUAAAUAAUGUUCUAUUUAUAAUCUACCAAACUUGUUAGGAAAGAAACCACUUGCAUAAGAAAUUACCAAAUAAUACAGAAAUUCCUAAAUCACACAACUACUAAAAACAUAACUCAAAUAAAACUAAAAAAUAAAUAAAUAUUACUAGGCUUAGUUUAAUUUGUCAACAUUGCCUCCUUUAAACCAUACUAUCCAUUGAGAUAGGUUCAACACCAUCUCGAGCAAUAAUUUCUAUGCAAAUCUAUGUUGUAGUACACUUGACAUGAAACUCUAACUUGUUACCAGUUAUUAAUUUCAUUUUUACACGUAACAGUGGACACACUAUGUAUUGUGUAAACAACUUCUCAGCAAUUUCUUCUUGAUCAAAGAACUCACUUAUACAAACCCAUUCAUCACCAGAAUCACCAUAUUUACCACCAAUGUAAGUGCCUAAAAAUACAAAAUCAUAGAUUUCUUUCUCGCUAAAAUUAUCAUCACCAAAUAAUUCAAAAUAACCACUACUACAAUCAUCCAAAAUUUUCAUACUGUCAGUCAACUCUUUUGGAGUAAAAUAUUUUUCAACUCCGAUGACAUCCAUAUCUAUUAAAUCAAACAUUCUCCCAUCACUUUGAAGAGAGUCCGAACCAACGAAUUUUUCAACAACAAUUUCAUGUUCUCUUCUCUUAUCAAAUCAAAAUUUUUUUCUUCUUUUGUCAAAUUACCAUAUUAUUUUUUUCAACAAAUUCAUUACUUCUAAUUUCUCCAAACAAGGUACGCAAAUCAAAACUAUCAAUUGAUUCAAAAUUUUCGAUAUCACCCAUAUUAUCAACAAAUCUAUCAUUUUUAAAAUCCACAAACCAAUACCAAUAAAUAGACUUCGGUUUGAAAGCAUAAUUUCUCCCAAUCGUGUGCAAAACAUAGUAAAUAUCCUUCCAAAAUCUCUAAAGUAUUUUAAUUAGUACGACCAAUAAAGGUUUUAUAAACACUUUUUGCCAUUAUUUUACGCAUCACUUGAAAGAAUAAUUGUGCCUUUUUCUUAAAAACAUGUUUUGACAACUUACUUGCAUCAACCCAACAAAGAAUAUCAUCCAAAUUACAUUGUUUAACAUAUUUUUCCACUAUUAAAAUCCAACCAAAAUAUGUAUGUCCAUUUGUGCUUAUAGGAGUCAAUAUGAAAAAUUUUUCACCGUGAAUCAGAUCUUUAUAAUAUUCCAUUAUUUAACAAUUUGUAUACCUGGAUAAAUUUUUUUCCUCCAUCCUGUCAUGUUUUCUUGGCCUCCCUGGUUGACUAACCAAAUUAUUGUUGUAUGUAUACCCAUGCUCGUCAAACCUCAUUUGUGUACACUCGUAAGGAGUGGUUCUGAGCUUCUUGUGAAUGCUCAGUACCAAGAAGUAGAAGAGAGAAUGCAUAAGAGAGAAUUAACUUGGCUAUAGAAAUAGGAAACAAUUGAGGGAUUUUUUAAGAAAUUAAUUCUCCAGCUACCACUUUUGGAAAUUUUCUAUCAACAACUAGUUACCAAAACACUAGCACAUAAUAAGAAAUCAGGAUAAUUUCAGAAACCUCCCUUGAGGCUUUUAAUAACCUCAAGAAGCUCCCCUCAAUAUUUUAAAAUUACACGUACCUUCCCUAUUGGUGCAAAAGUACUCUACUACCCCUAAUAGGAUACUCAAAAGACUUUUUUUUAUGGGAAAAAUGAAGCUCAGAAAUCCAAGCAAAAUCAAAAAAAUCAAUUGAUUUUCUCUUUUAGCCUUUUACACUUUUGCCUUCUACCUUUGCUCACUUUCCCAUCCCAAUCUUCCUACACCCGCUUUCCCAAUCCCCUUUCCCCAACUUUUCUCCUCUACUUCAAGACCAAUUUUUGUCUAUCUAUCCUGGCUUGUGCUUUGUUCCAUUCCCUUCCCUUCUCCUUCUUUGAUUUCGCCUACAUCUCCCUUUCUCUUUGCAAAAGUGACUAGGCUCAUGUCUCUCUUUUUCCCCCCUAUUCUAAGUGUAGUGGGUUUGAUUAUUUUGCAUCUAUUUUAUUUGAUUUGGGUUGAUUAUGGGUGAUAGAACUUGGCGAUGUCAAAUAUCAAAAGUUUGAUAGAUGGAUAUUGGGCUUUAGACAAUGAUUUGCUGAAAAAAAUGGCUGCAAUGAGACAAAGAGGCAAGGGGAUUUGAGUGUGGGGUUGAUUGUUGAUAAAUUGUUGUUUUGGACAAAAUUUGAGGUUGAGUUUUAUUAAAUUUGAUAGCAAGUGGCGAGUUUUGUUCAGGUUGCGGGAAAUAAAUUAGAUUGUGGUUUCUUGGGCACCCACAGUUGUUGGAAUUGGUUUUGAUUCAAAUUAGGGUGGUUACUUGAUUUUCCUAAUAGUGUUGCUUAAAAGCACACGAUCAUCAAAAUUCCUUAUUUUUAUCUUUUGUUUUUUCUUGUAGAAAAGAUUUCACGACUUUCGUGAUAGUCUAAUUUGGAAGAAGGCAAUCAAGGGAUGCAAUCAACAUUUAGCAAAAGCUCUUGUUCUUUCCUUUGUAAUUUUUAGGGUAAAAAGGGUAGUUUAGGGUAUUUGAAGGAAAUGAUAGUCUAUUGGGUCUAUUUUCAAGCAUAAAUAGUGAACGUAAGGGAGGUUGGUGUAAUUUCUGAAACCUAAGGGAAAUUGUCUGAAAUUGUUCGAGACCUCAGAGGAGGUUUUCGAAAUUAUCCCUAAGAAAUCAAAUGCGAAACUUGAUUAGUACACGCACACACGACACCGCACCACGCCGCGCGUGUGUUGAGGAUUGGUGUCCGUAACCAACGACAAGCAGGUUUUCAAUUUUUUUUUCCUUUCCUGGAUUCUCCAGAGAUGGUGUCAGCUUCUAUUAUUGAUGAGCAGGAGGAAAUCCACAAUAUACAGUACACAUCACCCAUAUUCUUUUUAAUUGAACAAUGUAUGAAAUUAUGGUGAUUCGAAAUUAAAUUAUAUGUUUAUUGGGCACUGAAUCCAAAAUAAGAGUUGGAAAUGUAUUGUGACAACAAUUGUUAACAUAGGCCACAAAUGAUCAAAACAAAUAUUUAAGGUUUAAUAUGACAUUAUGGGUUCAGAAUAUAGUUACUUGUUAUGAAACAACUAAAAGUAUGGAUAUCCAUUUGUAUUUUCAAGAGGAUCAAUUCAUAAUUCAUUGCUCCCAAGAGGAUUAAUUCAUAAUACAUUGCUACAUUAUGUAAAGGAAUUGCAUUGGAUGAACGGUUUCAAUCCAUAAAAGCUAUUUAUGUAUUGGAUGAACCGUUUCAUAUGGCUAUUCAUGUUCUUGUAGUAAUGAGUGUUUAAUAGAAUUGAUGUACCUUUAAUUUUGUAGUACCUAUAUAUACAGGUACUUUGGCACCUCUUGGGUAUACUUUUUGAUUAGUUGGAAUAAUAAGAAAAUUAUUCUUCAUUUCUGUACUUCUUUCUCUAAUAUUUCAAUUCCUAUUAUAGUAGUUCAUUUUUUUUAGUUUUACAACACGUUAUUAGCAUGAGUCUCUACUUUUGAACAAAAAGGUGAAAACGGAGCCUCUACCUUAAAAAAAAGUGAAACACGAGAUUCUGCCAAAAUUUUGCCCGUAUUUUUCCGGCAACUUCUGUCCACUUAUUGAGAAAUGGAUGCCAAAUAUUUGGGAUUAAAUAAUGGUGAUGAUGAUAUUUGUCUCAUUGAUAGUGCUACUACGCACACUAUAUUGAAAAAUAAAAAAAAAAUUUCUUGUAUGAAAAUGGGAGAGACAAAUGUUAAUACCAUAACUGGUAGUGCAAAAUUGAUUGAACGCUCCGGAAUAGCCUCUCUAUUUCUUCAUGAAGGGACUAAAAUUGUCGUAAAUAAUGCACUACUGUCUCCCAAGUCUCGGAGAAAUUUAUUGAGUUUUAAAGAUAUCUGCGAAAAUGAAUACUAUAUAGGGAUAAUGACUGAGACAAAUGGAGAAUUUUUAUUAAUCACAAGUAUCAUUUCUGGGCAGAAAUGCGUAGUAGAAAAAUUACCUUCUUUUUCUUCUAGCUUAUAUUAUGCACAAAUUAGUGCAAUUGAAAUUUAUCACCUAGUAGACCAGAAGUCUACUCAUCCCAAUAAUUUUAUGAUUUGGCAUGAUCGUCUCGAAAAUACUGAAUCUAUAAUGAUGAGACGAAUAAUCAAGAAUUUACAUGGUCACUCAUUGAAAAAUUAAAAGAUAUUAAAAGCAAAUGAAUUCUCCUGUGUUGCUUGUUCCCACGGAAAAUUAAUUAUUAGACCAUCACCAGUUAAAGUUGGGACUGAAUUCCCUACAUUUCUAGAACGAAUUCAUAGUGAUAUAUGUGGACUCGUAGAUCCACCAUGUGGACCAUUUCGAUAUUUUAUGGUGCUAAUUGAUGCAUCAACUAGAUGGUCACAUGUAUUUUUAUUAUCUACUCGCAACUUGAUAUUUGCGAGAUUGCUUGCUCAAAUAAUUAAAUUGCGAGCACAAUUUUCAGACUAUCUAAUAAAGAAAAUUCAUUUAGAUAAUGCUGGUAAAUAUUCGUCACAUGCUUUUGACAAUUAUUGCAUAUCUAUUGGAAUAACUAUUGAACAUCUUGUAACUUAUGUUCACACACAAAAUGGUCUAGCCGAAUCAUUUAUUAAAUGGUUACAAUUAAUUGCUAGACCAUUGUUGAUGAGGUCUAAACUUCCUUCAUCUGCUUGGGAAUAUGCUAUAUUAUAUACAGCAAUACUUGUGAGAAUUAGACCGACAAGUUAUCAUACUUAUUUUCCUCUAUAAUUAACUUUUGGUUAUAAGUCAAAUAUUUCUCAUUUACGAAUAUUUGGUUGUUCGGUUUAUGUUCGAAUUGCACGGCCCCAAUGUCGUAAAUUGGGUCCACAAAGAAGAUUGGGGAUAUAUGUCGGAUAUAAAAUCACCUUUAAUUAUUAAGUAUAUGGAACCAUUGACAGGUGAUUUAUUUACUGCAAGAUUUGCAGAUUGUCAUUCUAAUGAAUCACAUUUUUCGACAUUAGGGGGAGAUAAAAAUCAAUCGAAAAAGAAAAUCACUUGAAAAAUAUCAUUCAAUUUUCUCGAUUCUCGUACCAAAGAAUGUAAACUAGAAGUUCAAAGGAUUAUACAUUUGCAAAAAAUUACAAAUCAACUACUGGACGUAUUUAAUGACUCCAGAAGAGUUAUUAAAUCACAUAUUUUUAUUGAAAAUACUCCGAUUAAAAUUAAUGUCCUUGAAGGACAAAUUACAAGUGUUAAUGAGUGUAAAGUGCGCCUGAAGCGUGGGAGACCUCUUGGUUCUAAAGAUAAAAAUUCUCGAAAGAAAAGAGAAAUUGAUGAAUCAACAAUUAGUGACAAAAUUCAACCUCCUGAAGAAGUCGCUCCUAAAGAGCCAAUUCUUGAAGAUAAUGAAAUUAUAGAAAAUUCAAUAAAUUUUGUCGCUUCAGGAAAAAGUUGGAACAAAAAAAAAUUAUUAAUAGUAUUUUUGCAUAUAAUGUAGCACUUGUUAUUAUGGUAGGUAAUGAAGAUCGUGAGCAUAGAUCGGUUGAUGAAUGUCGACGUAGAAAUGAUUGGCCAAAAUGGAAAGAUGCGAUUCAAUCUGAAUUGGACUUACUAGCUACAAGAAAAGUUUUUGGGCCUGUAGUCCAAACACCUGAAGGUGUAAAGUCAGUAGGAUAUAAAUGGGCAUUUGUGAGAAAAAGAAAUGAGAAAAAUGAAAUCGUGAGGUAUAAAGCAAGACUUGCAACCCAAGGAUUUUCACAAAGGCCUGGAUUUGAUUAUGAUUACACGUAUUCACCUGUAGUGGAUGCUAUCACAUUUAGAUAUCUUGUGAGUUUUGCAGGACAUGAAAAAUCAGAUAUGCAUCUAAUGGACGUCGUUACUGUAUAUUUAUAUGAAAAUUUUGAAAAUGAUAUUUAAACGAGAAUCCCUGAAGGAUUCAACAUGCCUGAAGCAUGCAAAUCAAAUUUUAAAGAUAUUUAUACUAUUAAAUUACAAAGGUAUUUGUAUGGGUUCAAACAAUCUGGACGUAUGUGGUACCGCCUCAAUGAAUGUUUAACUAAAGAAGGCUAUACCAAUAAUCUAAUACAUCCAUGUGUCUUUAUCAAGAAAAAUGGACUAAUUUUAUGAUAAUUGUUGUCUAUGUUGAUAAUCUUAAUCUGAUUGGAACUCUUGAAGAGAUUCAAAAUAGUGUUGAAUAUUUGAAGAAGAAGUUUGAAAUCAAAGAUUUUGGAAAAACAAAAUUCUACAUUGAUUUACAAAUUGAGUGAUAGGUUGCAAUUUUAUCAUUUAUUUUAUUAUUAAUUUUCCCUAUUACUUAACCCAAUGUGAAUUAAUUAUUAGAUUCUACUCACUUUUAGUAUUUUACAUAUAUUUCAGGGAGUAGAACGAAAAUACCAUAAUAAGUGCCGAUUUGACAGUUAUCAGGAAAGAGUUCAAGUAGCAGGCAUCCAGGGCAUUUUUGGAACAAGGAGAUACAAGUCCUUUUUGGUAAUUCGCAGAGCGCAGCAUUAAAAGGAGGAACGAAGGGCUGAAGUAGGGAGUCUUCUUCCCCCUGGGAGGAACCGCCGCACAGCAGAGGGCUGUCUGGUCCUCUUAGUUUUUCCGUUUCUUUAGUUUUAGCUUCGGAUUUUGACUUUUCUUCUCGUAGGAAUUUUGGGUAGCCUUGAGCUUAGCAACUUUUGUUGACCCUUUUUUGGCCUUUUAGCUAGUUUGUUCUUACGCAUGGAAGAUGGCUGAAUAGCUGAGGCUUGUUCUUUGUUUUUCUUUGACUUUUCCUUUUGGUUUGCUUCCUGCGGACGCCCAGACCGAAGGAAAACUAUGAAGUCCCUUUUGUAGCUUUCUCUCUUUAUUAAAUAGACGAAUUGAAUUCCCUCAACUUGCGAAUUGAUGGCCGCAGCUUUUGCUUCAAUUUCUUGUGGGUUUAGUUCAUUAAUUAUGAACUAAUUCUACAAUUCUAGUCAAGGGGACAACUGACGAUUUGGUUCGACAAUUACUGUGAGAUCGAAUCUGUUUUAAUUAUUUUCUUCAUUUAUUGGUAUUUAUAUGUUCCUUGAUUUUAAUUGCUAUGGCCUUGUGUAUGAUUGAUUAGUGCGCAAUAAUUAAUUAUUCAUAUAGGCUAUUUUGCUAAAUAGAGGUAAUUGAAUCCGUAAUUGUUCGUUAUCUCUAUCUUAGUAGCAACUGGCGUAAUUGGGUUUAUGUCAGGGGAGCAUAUGAUCUAGCUUAAACAAACCCUCGUAGCGUGUUUGUUGGUUAGGAUUGGGCCUUUCUAAUUAUUAAUGCAAUCUAGAAAUUAAAUCUUACGGUCGUACCUAGGGUUGUUUUUGGGUUAGAGAAAUAGCUAACGGUCGUACCUUAGCUAUCGAUAAAUUAAGGAAGGGUUGGUUGUUUAUCGCGUGCAUGACAACUAUAACCAAUCUAUUAAUAAAUGUUGGGAUUAUUUUUGCAUCAAUGAUCAGUGCAUGAACCAUUUCUGAAGUAUACCCUUGGCUAGAGUUUCUCUUAGUUAUUUCUUUUAAUUAAUUAUUUUCUGCAGUUAAUUUAUUUAGUUAGCAUUUAAUCCAAAACCCCCCAUACUUUGGACUCUAAAAGAAACAAUUACUCCCAGUCCCUGUGGAUUCGACCCUGCUCACCGCUAUCUACAGAAAUCACUUUUAGUUUGAGCAGGUAUUUAUUAUUGCACAGGCUUCGACGACCUGUCAAUCUUUGGCGCCGUUGCCGGGGACUGGUGCCAGAUUAAAUUGUUUCUUUUUGAGUUUAUCUUGUUUUCAUUUUUUUAAUUUAUUUUUCUCUUAUUUUUUAUUAUUAUUAUUAUUUUUUUUAUGGCUGCUAACAUUCCAUAUUUUGAUGAUAGACUGGAUUUUGUUCCUGAAUGGGGUUAUGAGACUCAUGUUUUUCCUAACGAUCAAUGGGCUGUUGCAAAUUGUGGAACUUAUUUUGACUCAAGUUAUUCAACUGACACAUGCCCCGUAUUUCAAGAUAAUUUAAGUUCUCCACUUGAUACUUUUGGAGAUUUUUCACCCCAAUAUCAAACGUGGUAUGACCCUUAUUCAAACGGGUAUGAUCAAGGAUGGUGGGAUAAUUCCAAUUUUGAUUAUGCGACCGGGCCAAUGGAUUUUCAACAGCAAGAGUCUCAGCAAUCAUCCUCCGUGUCAGGUAUGUCUCUUGAAGAAAUGAUAGGUUUACUAAUUGCUAAUUCAAAUCGAUUUCAUCAGGAGACACAAGCGAGCCUAAAUCGAUUUCAUCAGAGGACACAAGCGAGCUGUCGCGACCUGGCGGAUCAACUGCGUCAAUUGACAGCCAGGAUGCAGCGAUUAGAGGCUCACCUUGAAGAAUUGCCCUCGCAAACCAAUAUCAAUCUUGAGGAAGAUGAGAGUGCAAUUGUCCGGGCAAAUGACAUGGAACUGCAAGAGUUUCAAGAAAACGGAUUUAAAGAUGCAGUUGAAAAGGAAGCUGAAGUGCAAGAAAUGAGACUCCAAGAUCAACUCGUUCAAGUGAAUGAAUCCAGUGAACAAUCUCCAAAUGCGGUGACAUCUUCUCCACUCCUUAAUCAAUAUUUUCCUGGCUCCUAUUCUUCAACUCCUGUUACUGAAAUUGAUUUUAUUAUACCAGAAAAUUUAAAAUUUCAUGACAGGAAUAAGUUAAGAGUGGAGAUGGCAAAAUAUCUUGAACCAAUGAAUGCGUGUGAUGGAGGAGUGAGUGGAGAAUGCAGAUCAUUGUUGACUUGUUUAGCGCCAUUUACUAGUCCAUGGAAGCCCGUAACUCGUGUGCCCAAGAAUUACUCCAUCUAUGAGGGUUACCAGGAUCACGUUGAAGAUGAAGCAUUGAAGCGAGCCACAAGAUUUUAUCCUCCAUGAGCAAAACAUGAUAAUGUCUAGCCAAAGACAUUAAAGAAAGGCGCUCAUUGGGAGGCAACCCAAUUUCUUUUAGUUGUUUGUUUGAUUUUAUUUGUUAGUUUAAAUCUGUCUUCCUUGAAUUUGACUGAUUUUGGGUGUUAAUUUUCGUUUUUACUGAUUUGUAGGUGACCUUCAGUCAUGACGCGCCCGCGUGGUGACGUGCAGGAAGCUCACGAUCAGAAACUUCUGGGAGCUCUCUUACCCUCAUGACGUGCCCGCGUCAAGUCACCUGGAGAGUUCCAGAUUCCGUGCCUUCAUGGUGUGCCCACGUCACGUUCACGGGAGAGAUAAGUAUUUAAAAAAAAAAUUCAAAAACGAUUGUUGAUUGUUGGUUAUCUCUGCUUUUGAAUCUCGAAAAUAAAAUUUGCUAAUGAAAAUAAAUUUCAAAAAAAUAAAAAAAAAUUUUUUAAAAAAAAAAAUUUAAAUUUUUGUUUCACGGUAGCUUAGAUUUUCAAAUCCUAAAAAAAAAAAAAAACACAGAAACUCUUUCUUAUCAACGUAGCUUUAGUGUCAAAUAUUUUAAAAAAAAAAAAGUCUCAAAUGAAAAAAAAAAAGGGCUUUUCUUUUUCUUUCUUUUCUUUCUUUCUUCUUCUUUCUCUUUUCUGUCUUCCUUCUCCCCUGUUUCUUCUUCCUCUCUGUUGACCGAAGCCCUCUGUCCGCCGCCGCUGCUGAAGCGCCCUCAGCCGUCGCGCAGCAGCUCCUCACUCGAAGACGCCGCGGCCACAGCACCUCUGCACGCGGCCUCCACCUCUCCAUCGCGCGCCGUCAAGAGCUCCGCCGACCCACGACGCGCGAGGCACCAGCUCGCGCGCCUCCCCCACCUAGCAACUGCUGGCCGACCAGCCCCACCACCAGCCCGCGCCGCACCUGCUGGCCGACCUAUCAACUCCUAAGCUCGCGAACCUCCUCAGCUCAGCUCCACCAGCGAGCUGCUCCUCGCUCACUCCAUCGCGUGAAGACCAGGCGAGCACGGCCCGCAGCCUCUCACCGCCACUGCGCACCUCUGACCAGCUCGCAGCACCUCUCUCUGCCCUCCGUGCGCUGCCCGCGCGUGGCACCAGCGCCUCCACAGCUCGUCGACGAAGCCCAAGCUGACAGACCACGCCGCUCGUCCACUUCCACCACUCGCGACGCACAGAUCAGCGCUGCCGUUGGUUGCCCAACCUCCCUGGUGCCAGGUUUUUCUUACUAAUUUUGUGGUCUACGAUUCCAAUUUCUUGAUGAUGGGAUUUUUGAUGAUUACGAUUUCAUUGAGUAAAUUUGAUUGGCUUGCAUCUGUGUUACUGGAGCCCGUGGGUUGGGUUAUGACCUGCAACUGAUUUGCCUAGUCUAAUAUAAUUGUCAUUUGUUUGGGCUCUUGAAGUACUGUCUAGUGUUGUUUGUAUUUCUUAGUGAAUUGAGUUUGCCGUUUGAUUUCAUUCUUCCCUGUGCGUACACCAGUGGUACUGGUUGUGGUAGUUGCCUAACAUUUAUUCAUUCUCAUUGGUGUGGCUGUUGGGAUUGAAAGCUCAGAACUUGUGACUAAGUUGUUAUUGCCUAAAUGCUGACCUGCUAUUACUAGACUUGCUGAUUUCUUGGGAGCAUUUGUUGGGAUUUUGGGUGGAUAUUAGCAAGUGGUAUAUUGCUUGAUUUUUUUUACCUGUGCCUUGCUUGGAGUUUCUAGUGCAUGUUUGGGGCUGCCUUGGGAGUUAUUUGCCACAAUUGAUUGCCGUUUUGGUUUCUUCUGUUUCUGGUACUGCUUGUGCUGAUGGAUUUAUCAGUGUUUUGGGCGGCUUAUUUGAAUUGCUUCUUCCCUGUGUGUUUGGUCAGCUGUUUGCUUGAAAACCCAAACCCUUGUGCUUAUAUUUGCUCCCAGUUGAGUUAUGUGUUGGACUUUCCAAUUGGUGACAACUUUUGGGCUUUAGGGGUGAGUUCAUUUUGUCAUUAUUUGCUACCUUGUUGGGGUCAUUUUUGGUUUCACCUGAGUCUAUUGUCCUGCCUUCUGUUUUGAGUCCAUUGGAGUGACGUGAGUUGAGUAAUUUCUGCUUUUGUUUGUUGAUUUGGAAGGCUACUGUGCCACUUUCAUUGCUUAUUGCUUAGUGAUUAUGUCUAAUUAACAAUGUGCAUAGCAUGGCGCAGAAUUUGGCAGCAUUCAUGUAGCAUGCCGGUCUUAUACCUCAAUUGGGUACCUCUAUUUGGUUGGCUGCGUUCUUAUUGUCCAAUAUCUAUGCUGUUUUCAAUGGAAUUGCUGAUCUUGGGUUAAGACUUUAGCUGGCCAACUGGAGCCAUUUGUUGAGAUUUUGGGUGAACUGCAAUACUGCACUCGUUUGUUCAAUUGGGAGGUUUCUUUUGGUAUUCUGGUUGAGUUAUUUCUAAAGUUGCCUGAUGAAUUGAGAGACAUAGAUGGCUAUUGCUCUGCCCUGAUAUUGCUUGGUUGCCAGUGCGCAUUCUCUAUGCCAAGUGGCAAGGAUGUCUCAGAACUCGGCUUCCCUCCACUGUUCCCUCCUAUCCCUUAGCUGUUCAGCAGGGAAGUCUCGUUAUCCUCUUCGCUUUAAUUAUUUUAUUACCUCCAUUGAGGACAAUGUAGGAUUUAGGUGUGGGGGGAGCAGUUAUGGUGCUAGUGUCUUUCGUUCAUUUUCUUUUUCUUCUUUUUAGUGAUUGGCUCGUAAGUGCAUGCCAAGGUUUGAUGUUGGAUUAUUGCCUCUAUUUCUACUUUUGCCAAGUUUUAAUAAUAAAAGGGUAUCAAGUUAAUGUGGUUGAAUCCAAAAACAUCUCUUUGGUGAAUAUCAAUAAUUGUUUUACUCUUAUAAUUUUUUGGUUAACUUUCCUAGGCAUAGGGAAUGAUUAUUGGCAUUUUUAGUGAAUUGGUCCGGUUAUUAACCUUAGUUCUCCAUGUUUGAAAAUGAGGCUAGCUGAUGCAAGUUUUCUUUUGGUUCUUGUGUUAUAUUGAGUUUUUGUGAUUUUUAGCUCUGAAUAAACUUGACUGUACUCCGCUAUUAGUUACUACUGAGUAACCGGGGAUCUGCACCUAAAAGUGUUGAUUCUCGCGUCAAAAGAUAGUAGUUCCUAUGAGUACGUGGUCACGUGGCGAUAGAAGCUGAGUAACCGGGCUCCUUCAUCUGGCCAAUGUUGGAAUUCGCGUCAAAAGGCUCUAAUGGCUAGCGACUAAGUCUUUUGUUACUAUUGAAAAAAAACGAGAAAGAAGAAGAAGAAAAAAAAAAGAAAAAAAAGAGAAAAGUAGAAAAAUGUGAAAGAAAAAGUGAAUGCUGUGUUAGUGUAUAAUAAAAGUCAGCUUGCCGAUUUAUGGAUUUAAUGUUGAGAUUUUGGUUAAUAGUUGGACCAUUUGCUGAUAACUGUUAUGCGUCAUUCCUUUUUCUUAGAUUGGUUAACAUGAAAUUAGAGGAAUUUAUGGUUUAGAAGCUAACCGGAGUGAUGUUUCUUGGACUAGACCAUUGAUGCUUGAUUAUUAUAUUUUCUUGGUAUCUUGGCAAUAUGGUAGAUGGAGUAAUAGCCAUUGGCAAGUGUUGGUGUUUAUUUGCUGUUCUCAUGCUUGAGGACAAGCAUGGUUUAGGUGUGGGGGGAAUUGAUAGGUUGCAAUUUUAUCAUUUAUUUUAUUAUUAAUUUUCCCUAUUACUUAACCCAAUGUGAAUUAAUUAUUAGAUUCUACUCACUUUUAGUAUUUUACAUAUAUUUCAGGGAGUAGAACGAAAAUACCAUAAUAAGUGUCCGAUUUGACAGUUAUCAGGAAAGAGUUCAAGUAGCAGGCAUCCAGGGCAUUUUUGGAACAAGGAGAUACAAGUCCUUUUUGGUAAUUCGCAGAGCAGCAGCAUUAAAAGGAGGAACGAAGGGCUGAAGUAGGGUCUUCUUCCGCCUGGGAGGAACCGCCGCACAGCAGAGGGCUGUCUGGUCCUCUUAGUUUUUCCGUUUCUUUAGUUUUAGCUUAGGAUUUUGACUUUUCUUCUCGUAGGAAUUUUGGGUAGCCUUUAGCUUAGCAACUUUUGUUGACCCUUUUUUGGCCUUUUAGCUAGUUUGUUCUUACGCAUGGAAGAUGGCUGAAUAGCUGAGGCUUGUUCUUUGUUUUUCUUUGACUUUUCCUUUUGGUUUGCUUCCUGCGGACGCCCAGACCGAAGGAAAACUAUGAAGUCCCUUUUGUAGCUUUCUCUCUUUAUUAAAUAGACGAAUUGAAUUCCUUCAACUUGCGAAUUGAUGGCCGCAGCUUUUGCUUCAAUUUCUUGUGGGUUUAGUUCAUUAAUUAUGAACUAAUUCUACAAUUCUAGUCAAGGGGACAACUGACGAUUUGGUUCGACAAUUACUGUGAGAUCGAAUCUGUUUUAAUUAUUUUCUUCAUUUAUUGGUAUUUAUAUGUUCCUUGAUUUUAAUUGCUAUGGCCUUGUGUAUGAUUGAUUAGUGCGCAAUAAUUAAUUAUUCAUAUAGGCUAUUUUUUGCUAAAUAGGGGUAAUUGAACCCGUAAUUGUUCGUUAUCUCUACCUCAGUAGCAACUGGCGUAAUUGGGUUUAUGUCAGGGGAGCAUAUGAUCUAGCUUAAACAAACCCUCGUAGCGUGUUUGUUGGUUAGGAUUGGGCCUUUCUAAUUAUUAAUGCAAUCUAGAAAUUAAAUCUUACGGUCGUACCUAGGGUUGUUUUUGGGUUAGAGAAAUAGCUAACGGUCGUACCUUAGCUAUCGAUAAAUUAAGGAAGGGUUGGUUGUUUAUCGCGUGCAGGACAACUAUAACCAAUCUAUUAAUAAAUGUUGGGAUUAUUUUUGCAUCAAUGAUCAGUGCAUGAACCAUUUCUGAAGUAUACCCUUGGCUAGAGUUUCUCUUAGUUAUUUCUUUUAAUUAAUUAUUUUCUGCAGUUAAUUUAUUUAGUUAGCAUUUAAUCCAAAACCCCCCAUACUUUGGACUCUAAAAGAAACAAUUACUCCCAGUCCCUGUGGAUUCGACCCUGCUCACCGCUAUCUACAGAAUUAAUUUUAGUUUGAGCAGGUUUUAUUAUUGUACAGGCUUCGACAACCUGUCAUUGAGCAUUUGAAAAGUGAAAUUUUUGUCCACCAAACUGCUUAUACCCGGAAGGUAUUAAAGUAGUUUUAUAUGGAUAAGGCAUAUACAUUAAGUACCCCAAUGGUCAGAUCAUUAGAUCCUAAUAAGGACCCUUUUAGACCGCGAGAGGAAGUUGAAGAGAUACUUGGUCCUAAAGUACCAUAUCUCAGUGCAAUUAGUGCACUAAUGUAUCUUGCUAAUUGUACAAGACCUGAUAUAUCAUUUGCAAUAAAUUUAUUAGCAAGAUUUAGUUCUCGCUCACAAGACGACAUUGGAAUAGUAUUAAACAUAUUUUUUGUUAUCUCCAAGGAUCAAUUGAUCUUGGCUUAUUUUAUUCAAAUAAAUCUAAACUUGAAUUGUUUGGUUAUGUUGAUGCUGGAUAUUUAUUUGGCCCACAUAAAGUAAGAUCUCAGACUGGUUAUCUAUUUACAUAUGGAGGUACAACCAUUUCUUGGCGAUCUACAAAGCAAUCAUUAGCUGCCAUUUCAUCGAAUCAUGCUGAAAUAAUAGCAAUUCAUGAAAUUAGUUGAGAAUGUGUUUGGUUAAAAUCAAUGACCCACUAUAUCCGGAAAAGUUGUGGGUUAUCCUCCGAAAAAGAAAAUCCUUCAACUAUAUUAUAUAAAGAUAAUGCAGCUUGUAUAACUCAAUUGAAAGGAUGAUAUAUUAAAAGAGAUAGAACGAAAUAUAUUUCACCAAAAUUCUUUUUUACUCAUGAUUUACAAAAGAAUGGUGAAAUUGAUGUGCAACAAAUCUGAUCAGAUAAUAAUUUGACAGAUUUAUUUACCAAUGCAUUGCCAACUGCAAUAUUUAAGAAAUUGGUGAAGAAUAUUGGAAUGCGACGACUAUAAGAUCUCAAAUGAUAUUUGCAUCCGGGGGAACAAUCAAUACACAAGAAUAGUGUACUCUUUUUCCUUCAUUAAGGUUUUUAUCCCGUUGGAUUUUUUCCUAGUAAGGUUUUAAUGAGACACAUUCUUUGUGUAAUGGACAUCCAAUGGGGAGUGUUAUGAAACAACUAAAAAUGUGGAUGCCCAUUUGUAUUCUCAAGAAGAUCAAUUCAUAAUUCAUUGCUUCCAAAAGGAUUAAUUCAUAAUUCAUUGCUACAUUAUAUAAAGGAAUUACAUUGGAUGAACGGUUUCAAUCCAUAAGAGCUAUUCAUGUAUUGGAUGAACCAUUUCAUAUGGUUAUUUAUGUUCUUGUAGUAAUGAGUGUUUAAUAGAAUUGAUGUACCUUUAAUUUUGUAGUACCUAUAUAUAGAGGUACCUUGGCACCUCUUGGAUGUACUUUUUGAUUAGUUGGAAUAAUAAAAAAAUCAUUCUCCAUUUCUGUACUUUUUUUUCUAAUAUUUUAAUUCCUAUUAUAGUAGUUCAUUUUUUUUUUAGUUUUACAACAUUACUCAAAGAAGAGGGUUAUUGGACUAUAUGUUUAUUGACCUCUACUAGGGAUGACAAUGGGGGCGGGUGACGGCAAUGGGGGCGGGUGACCGCGGGCACCCGUCCCGCGGGGGGCUAAUGGGGAGAGGGAUGGGGCCGGGGCGGGGGGUAGGGGAGUGUACCCCCGCCCCAUCCCCCGUCCCGCUACCCGCUUUAAAAAAAUAAAUAUAUAAAAUAUAUAUAGGUAUAUAAUUAUAUAUAUAAUAUAUAAUUUAAUUGGUUACAAACUUAUGAUAAUAAUAUUAUUAGUUAUAUGUAUUAUAUGAUGUCUAUUAGUAUAAAUAAUAUAAUUGAUAUUAUUAAUUAUACUAAUAAUUAUAUAUGUGUACUCAUACAAAUUAUUAAUUGGUUAUACUAAAUUUACUAAUACAUUUAUACUAAAUCCCUAAUUACACUUAAUACAAUAACAUUAUUUUCAUAAAAAAAACACAACCACAAUAAUGAAUUAGUGAUUGUAUUUGUACCAAAAGUGAAAAUUUGAUUACUUUAGUUAUAUUUUUUUCAUCAUGUUGGAUUGUAUUCAAAUAAUUUUUGUUUGAUUGUUUUUAUAAGUUUCAAUUGUAAAAUUGCAAUGAAUAAUAAUUUGAUGAUGUGUUGAUAUUUUAGUACUUGAUUAUUUGCUAAAAUUUAAUCAUAAUAAAAUUAUAUAACAAAUUUUUAUUAGCUCAGCGGGAGCACCCGCCGGAGAAGCGGGGCAGGGUGGGGACGGGGCGAGGGAAGCGGGGGAUGGGGGAGGGGUCCCCCGCCCCAACCCUCUUCCCCAUCUCCCGCCCCGUUGCCAUCCCUAACCUCUACUAACUUAUUUAAGGUCAUUUUAUAUCACUAUCCAAAGAAGAAUUAAGGUCAUUUUAUAUCACUAUCCAAAGAACAAUUCUUGGGCGUUAACAUUUUUCUUACAUGCCAAGACUAUUAAUGAAAGUUGACCCAAAUCUCUCUCUCUCUUUCUCUCAAUUCUUAGGACUGAUGCCAAUUCUUACCAUUUAGAAAGAAAAAUUAGAUUGUUUAUAUAUAUGAUGAGUUCCCUCUAAGUCAUGGUUAAGAAAAAUUCUUAGUUAGACGCAGUUUUAUGAAAUGUGAAUUUCCUUUUCUUUGUCUUUAUUCGUUAGUAUUAUUGGGGUUAUUGUAUUAUGAUUGCAAUGCACAGAUACAUGGAUUUUUGACAUUUUUUUCUCAUUUUUUCUUUUUAAUUGACUCUGACUAUGUCUCAAACUCGAGACAUCAAACCUGGAGAAGACUUUUGUCCAAAAUGCUUGUAAAAAUUCAGAAGAAUAAUGUUGGACCUUAUUAUUUAAUAAUGGUGCAAUUAUGAGAGUCAUUCCUGGUUUAAUUAUCAACAUCAUGUCAUUAUUAUUUUUUUGUUUCAUAGAAAAAUAAAGUAUUCUCCGACUCGACAUUAUCAUAUUAUUUUCAAUUGGCAGCUUUAAGUGAGAAAGGCCGGUGAAAAUUUUGGGCAUUACUAGUUUAUUUAGGCCUCACGCGCUCCGUGAAGGUGCCGACGUCAUCUUCGUUUUAAUGGAAAAAUUUGAGCGCGCUUUGAUCAUAAGGAAUUCACAAUCAUCGGGCCAACAAAGAAAGCACUAAAUGGUUAAAACAAACCAUGCAAAUUUGCUCAGCACUUAAACAAUAGACUCCUAAACCGACCAUUUUACUGUCUUGCCAAAAAAGGGCAUUAAAGUAAAAACAACCCAUGCCUAACACAACUAACAAACUUCAGCACCUUCACUUCACUGCCACGUCAUCAACAACAUCUGUAAAUUUCCAAGGAAGUCCACGCACUAAAGGUGCCAUGGGGGACCUCAGGUUAGUGUUCUUAACAUCAACUCCUGUCUUUAUAUUCUUAGGAAAUAUUGAAAUUAAACAUUAUAACUAAUCCUGAUUUCCUUAUGCUGUAUUUGUACACAAUUUGGCAACUUGAUAAAAAGUUUGUUCCAAUUUAUUCCAAUUUAAUUUGUCAGCUAGUCGAAUCUAAUUUGAAUAGUAUUUAACUUUGAAAUUUGAUAAAAAGUUUGUUCAAACUUGGUUUACUAAAUAAACAAGUUAAGUUUGAACAAAAUUUCAAACUUAUUAAAAUAAUUAAAUACGUUUGAAUACUAGGGUAUUCAAUUUAAUUAGACUCGUUUGCACCCAUAAUUAAAGCAUGCACUUUUUUAUAAAUUUAGGAAUCAACAUUAUCUAUUUGAUAGCUAGCUAAUGGCCCAAAAAGUUAAUUGCCUUAAAUUCUUUUAGCAGCCAUAAAGUAUAGUUGGAGGGAUUCCCUUGAAAUUGAUUAGAUUCUUCUAUGUGACUGUGACGUAUUACUAGUCCUACCCAAAAAAAAAUGGUAUUACUAGUCCUUUUUUCUUUUUGUGGCGUGCCACCGCCGUAGGGGGCGGGGAGGGCAGUCAGUGCGAGAAUUCUAGAUGGGGUAGAAGUAGCCAAAGUUCACCUUAUUCAAAGUAAACAACCGACAAUCUCAGUUGUCGACUUUCCUGUCGAUUGCGUAUAUAUUACUAUCUUUUACCAUGACUUUAGAGGAUACCUAAUUUUGCUUGCUAUUAAAUAAUAAUUCCUGGCACCACAUAAUUCUUUCAAGAACUACCAAAACCUUCUUGAAAUCCCUCUUUUUCCUUUUAGUUCAUUUCCAAGAAACAAAUUGAACCAUCAUGGCCCCUGUCACUUCCAGUUAUGAGGUCACCUCCUCAAUCCCUCCUGCAAGGUUGUUCAAGGCCACCAUCCUUGAAGAGAAGCAUCUUCACAAGAUCUUGCCACAGGGCGUUAAGAGUGUCGAAAUCCUUGAAGGAGAUGGUGGAGUUGGCACAAUUAAGUUGACCACAUUUGUUGAAGGUAAGAUAUCAAUACAAAGUGAUUAUUUUCACACAUUUGAAGUCCUCAAAAUGUUCUUUUUUUUUUUUAACAUUUUAUUUGUGGGGGUAAGUAUGUAUGUAAGCCCUAAUAACCUUUUUUUUUUUGUUGGGUUAAAUAUUUAGGUGGCGAGCUUAAGACUGCCAAACAGAGAGUUGAUGGAAUUGACAAAGAAAAAUUUACAUACAGUUAUACUGUACUUGAAGCUGAUGGAUUUAACGAUGUAAUCGAGAAAAUCUGUUGUGUCAUCAAAUUUGAACCCUCUGCUGAUGGAGGUUCAAUCUGCAAAACCACUAAUACAUACUACCCCAAAGGUGGUGCUCAGAUCAGUGAGGAACACCUCAAGGGAGGAAAAGAGAAGGGUUUGGGAAUGGUUAAGGCUGUUGAGGCUUACCUCCACGCAAAUCCUACUGCCUACAACUAAUUAAAAUGAAUGCUACUGAAGGACUCUUCGACAUAUUUUCUUCAAGAUUGAAGUAUAAACUGAGGGUGUCUGUUUCCUUUUUUGCUUGGUUUGCUUAAGCUGUUUGGUUAAGUUAUUCGCAGCAAGAGAAUAAAAUAAUUCACUUGCUGUUUUUAGAUAUGAAUUCAUGACUGUCAGUAGUCUAUAAAUACACUUAUUGCUCACCGCUCUUUGCACCGCAAAAUCUUUUCAAGAUCCAUCAAACCCUCCUGUUCUUGAUCUUUCUCCAUUUGUGAAAAAACAAAUUAAAGCAUCAUGGCCCCGAUCACUUGUAGUGCUGAGAUGACCUCCCCAAUGCCUCCUGCAAGGUUGUUCGAGGCCGCCAUCCUUGAUGACCACCUUCUUCCCAAGAUCAUGCCACAGGCUAUUAAGAGUGUGGAAAUCCUUGAAGGAGAUGGUGGAGUUUGAACCAUUAAUUUGAGCACAUUUGGUGAAGGUUAGAUGUUAUAUUAAAUGUAGAACCCCAAAUUUAAGGAUCGAAUAAUAAUCAACGCAUGUGGGGUUAUAGAAUUGAAGGGAUAAAACAAAUACUCAAAAUAUACGUGAAAGAAAAGAAAAUAAUAAAUUCAACUUACAAUAUUAUUAAAUUUUCAAACAAUGGAAAAAAUCAUACCACAAUAAAUUCAGCUGGUUCUAAUAAUAAUCAAAGCAUACAAGGUUACAGAAUUAAAAGGAUAAAACAAACGCUCAAAAUAUAUGUGGGAGAGAAGAAAAUAAUCAAUUCAACACACAAUAUUAUUGAAAUCUCAAACAAUGAAAAAAGUCACACCAUAAUAGAAAACCUUGCUUAUUCUUCUAGAUUCUUUCUCUUGAGAGACCAACCUAAAUAAUGUCCUAUUUAUAAUCUACCAAACUUGUUAAGAAAGAAACCACUUGCAUAAGAAAUUACGAAAUAAAUUAGAAAUUCCUAAAUCACACAACUACUAAAAACAUAACUCAAAUAAAACUAAAAAAUAAAUAAAUAUUUCUAGGCUUAGUUUAAUUUGUCAACAUUGCCUCCCUUAAACCAAAUUAUUCAUUGAGAUAGGUUCAACACCAUCUCGAGCAAUAAUUUCUAUGCAAAUCUAUGUUGUAGUACAUUUGACAUGAAACUCUAACUUGUUACCAGUUAUUAAUUUCAUUUUUACACGUAACAAUGGACGCACUAUAUAUUUUGUAAAAAAUUUCUCAGCAAUUUCUUCUUGAUCAAAGUACUCAUUUAUACAAACCCAUUCGUCACCAGAAUCACCAUAUUUACCACCAAUGUAAGUGCCUAAAAUUAAAAAAUCAUAGGUUGCUUUCUCGCUAAAGUUAUCAUCACCAAAUAAUUCAAAAUAACCACUACUACAAUUAUCCAAAAUUUUCAUACUGUCAGUCAACUCUUUUGGAGUAAAAUAUUUUUCAACUCCGAUGACAUCCAUAUCUAUCAAAUCAAACAUUCUCCCAUCACUUUGAAGAGAGUCCGAACCAACAAAUUUUUCAACAACAAUUUCAUGUUCUCUUCUUUUAUCAAAUCAAAAUUUUCUUCUUCUUUUGUCAAAUUACCAUAUUAUUUUUUUCAACAAAUUCAUUACUUCUAAUUUCUCCAAACAAGGUAUGCAAAUCAAAACUAUCAAUUGAUUCAAAAUUUUCGAUAUCACCCAUAUUAUGAACAAAUCUAUCAUUUUUAAAAUCCACAAACCAAUACCAACAACUAGACUUCAGUUUGAAAGCAUAAUUUCUCUCAAUCAUGUGCAAAACAUAGUAAAUAUCCUUCCAAAAUCUCUAAAGUAUUUUAGUAUGACCAAUAAAGGUUCUAUAAAUACUUUCUGCCAUUAUUUUACGCAUCACUUGAAAGAAUAAUUGUGCCUUUUUCUUAAAAACAUGUUUUGACAACUUACUUGCAUCAACCCAACAAAGAAUAUCAUCCAAAUUGCAUUGCUUGACAUAUUUUUCCACUGUUAAAAUCCAAUUAAAAUAUGUAUGUCUAUUUGUGCUUAUAGGAGUCAAUAUGAAAAAUUUUUCACCGUCAAUUAGAUCUUUAUAAUAUUCCAUUAUUUAACAAUUUCUAUACCUGAAUAAAUUUUUUUCCUCCAUCCUGUCAUGUUUUCUUGGCCUCCCUGGUUGACUAACCAAAUUAUUGUUGUAUGUAUACCCAUGCUCGUCAAACCUCAUUCGUGUACACUCGUAAGGAGUGGUUCUGAGCUUAUUGUGAAUGCUUAGUACCAAGAAGUAGAAGAGAGAAUGCAUAAGAGAGAAUUAACUUGGCUAAAGAAUUAGGAAACAAUUGAGGGAUUUUUUAAGAAAUUAAUUCUCCAACCGCCACUUUUGGAUCUUUUCUAUCUACAACUAGUUACCAAAACACUAGCACAUAGUAAGAAAUCGGGAUAAUUUCAGAAACCUCCCUUGAGGCUUUUAAUAAUCUCAAGAAGCUCCCCUCAAUAUUUUAAAAUUACACGUACCUUCCCUAUUGGAGCAAAAGUACUCUACUACCCCUAAUAGGAUACUCAAAAGACUUUUUUUAUGGGAAAAAAGAACCUCAGAAAUCCAAGCGAAAGCAAAAAAAUCAAUUUAUUUUCUCUUUUAGCCUUUAACGCUUUUGCCUUCUACCUUUGCUCACUUUCCCAUGCCAAUCUUCCUAUAACCACUUUCCCAAUCCCCUUUCCCCAACUUUUCUCCUCUACUUCAAGACUAAUUUUUGUCCAUCAAUCCUGGCUUGUGCUUUGUUCCAUUCCCUUCCCUUCUCCUUCUUUGAUUUCCCCUACAUCGCCCUUUCUCUUUGCAAAAGUGACUAGGCUCAUCUCUCUCUUUUUUCCCCUUAUUCUAAGUGUAGUGGGUUUGAUUAUUUUGCAUCUAUUUUAUUUGGUUUUGGUUGAUUAUGGGUGAUAAAACUUGGUGAUGUCAAAUAUCAAAAGUUUGAUAGAUGGAUAUUGGGCUUUAGACAAUGAUUUGCUAGAAAAAAAUGGCUGCAAUGAGAGGAAAAGGCAAGGGGAUUUGAAUGUGGGGUUGAUUGUUGAUGAAUUGUUGUUUUGGACAAAAUUUGAGGUUGAGUUUUGUCAAAUUUGGUAGCAAGUGGCGAGAUUUGUUCAGGUUUCGGGAAAUAAAUUGGAUUGUGGUUUCUUGGGCACCCACAGUUGUUGGAAUUGGUUUUGAUUCAAAUAAAGGUGGUUACUUGAUUUUCCUAAUAGUGUUGCUUAAGAGCACACGAUCAUCAAAAUUCCUUAUUUUUAUCUUUUUUUUUUUGUAGAAAAGAUUUCAUGACUUUCGUGAUAGUCUAAUUUGGAAGAAGGCAAUCAAGGGAUGCAAUCAACAUUUAGCAAAAGCUCUUGUUCUUUUCUUUCUAUUUUUUAGGGUAAAAAGGGUAGUUUAGGGUAUUUGAAGGAAAUGAUAGUCUAUUGGGUCUAUUUUGAAGCAUAAAUAGUGAACGUAAGGGAGGUUGGUGUAAUUUCUGAAACCUAAGGGGAAUUGUCUAAAUUGUCCGAGACCUCAGAGAAGGUUUUCGAAAUUAUCCCUAAGAAAUCAAAUGCGAAACUUGAUUAGUACACACACACACGACACUGCACCACGGCACGCGUGUGUUGAGAACUGAUGUCCGUAACCAACGACAAGCAGGUUUUCAAUUUUUUUUUCCUUUCCUGGAUUCUCCAGAGAUGGUGUCAGCUUCUAUUAUUGAUGAGCAGGAGGAAAUCCACAAUAUACAGUACACAUCACCCAUAUUCUUUUUAAUUGAACAAUGUAUGAAAUUAUGGUGAUUCGAAAUUAAAUUAUAUGUUUAUUGGGCAACGAAUCCAAAAUAAGAAUUGGAAAUGUAUUGUGGCAACAAUUGUUAACUUAGGCUACAAAUGAUCAAAAUAAAUAUUUAAGAUUUAAUAUGACAUUAUGGGUUCAAAAUAUAGUUACUUGUUAUGAAACAACUAAAAGUGUGGAUGUCCAUUUGUAUUCUCAAGAGGAUCAAUUCAUAAUUCAUUGCUCCCAAGAGGAUUAAUUCAUAAUUCAUUGCUACAUUAUGUGAAGGAAUUACAUUAGAUGAACGGUUUCAAUCCAUAAGAGCUAUUCAUGUAUUGGAUGAACCGUUUCACAUGGCUAUUCAUGUUCUUGUAGUAAUAAGUAUUUAAUAGAAUUGAUGUAUGUUUAAUUUUGUAGUACCUAUAUAUAGAGGUACCUUGGCACCUCUUGGCUGUCCUUUUUGAUUAAUUUGAAUAAUAAGAAAAUCAUUCUCUAUUUCUAUACUUCUUUCUCUAAUAUUUCAAUUCUUAUUAUAGUAGUUCAUUAUUUUUUUAGUUUUACAACACGUUAUCAGCACGAGUCUCUAUUUUUGAAUAAAAAACUGAAAAUGGAGCCUAUACCUUAAAAAAAGCAAAAAAUGUGAUUCUGCUGAAAUUCUGCAUGUAUUUUUCCGGCAACUUCUAUCUACUUAUUGAGAAAUGGAUGCCAAAUAUUUGGGAUUAAAUAAUGGUGAUGAUGACAUUUGUCUCAUUGAUUGUACUACUACGCACACUAUAUUGAAAAAAAAAAUUCUUGUAUGAAAAUGGGAGAGACAAAUGUUAAUACCAUAAGUGGUAGUGCAAAAUUGAUUGAAAGUUCUGGAAGAGCCACUCUAUUUCUUCCUGAAAGGACUAAAAUUGUCGUAAAUAAUGCACUACUAUCUCUCAAGUCUUGAAGAAAUUUAUUCAGUUUUAAAGAUAUCUGCGAAAAAUGGAUAUCAUAUCGGGACAAUAAAUGAGACAAAUGGAGAAUUUUUAUUAAUCACAAAUAUCAUUUCUGAGCAGAAAUACGUAGUAGAAAAAUUACCUUCUUUUUCUUCUGGCUUAUAUUAUGCACAAAUUAGUGCAAUUGAAAUUUAUCACCUAGGAGACCAGAAUUCUACUCAUCCCAAUAAUUUUAUGAUUUGGUAUGAUUGUCUCGAAAAUCCUAGAUAUAUAAUGAUGAGGCAAAUAAUUGAGAAUUCACAUGGUCACUCAUUGAAAAAUCAAAAGAUAUUAAAAGCAAAUAAAUUCUCUUGUGUUGCUUGUUCCCACGGAAAAUUAAUUAUUAGACCAUCACCAGUAAAAGUUGGGACUGAAUCCUCUACAUUUCUAGAACGAAUUCAUGAUGAUAUAUGUGGACUUGUAGAUCCACCAUGUGGACCAUUUCGAUAUUUUAUGGUGCUAAUUAAUGCAUUAACUAGAUGAUCACAUGUAUGUUUAUUAUCUACUCGCAACUUGGCGUUUGCGAGAUUGUUUGCUCAAAUAAUUAAAUUGCGAGCACAAUUUUCAAACUAUCCAAUAAAGAAAAUUCAUCUAGAUAAUGCUGGUGAAUAUUCGUCACAUGCUUUUGACGAUUAUUGCAUGUCCAUUGGAAUAACUGUUGAACAUCCUGUAACUUAUGUUCACAUUCAAAAUGGUUUAGCCGAAUCAUUUAUUAAAUGGCUAUAAUUAAUUACUAGACCAUUGUUGAUGAGAUCUAAACUUCCUUCAUUUGCUUGGGAACAUGCUAUAUUACAUGUAGCAAUACUUGUGAGAAUUAGAUCGACAAGUUAUCAUACUUAUUUUCCCCUAUAAUUAACUUUUGUUUUUGAGUCCAAUAUUUCUCAUUUACGAAUAUUUGGUUGUUCGAUUUAUGUUCUAAUUAUACCGUCCCAACAUCGUAAAUUAGACCCGCAAAGAAGAUUGGGGAUAUAUGUUGAGUAUGAAUCACCUUUAAUUAUUAAGUAUAUGGAACCAUUGACAGGUGAUUUAUUUACUGCGAGAUUUGCAGAUUGUCAUUUUGAUGAAUCACAUUUUUCGACAUUAGGGGGAGAUAAAAAUCAACCGAAAAAGAAAAUCACUUGAAAAAUAUCUUUGAAUUUCCUCGAUUCUCAUACCAAAGAAUGUGAACUAGAAGUUCAAAAGAUUAUACAUUUGCAAAAAAUUACAAAUCAAUUACCGGACGCAUUUAAUGACUCCAGAAAAGUUACUAAAUCACAUAUUCCUAUUGCAAAUGCUCCGAUUAAAUUAAUGUCUUUGAAGGACAAAUUACAAAUGUUAACGAGUCUAAAGCGUACCUAAAGCGUGGAAGACCUCUUGGUUCCAAAGAUAAAAAUUCUCGAAAGAAAAGAGGAGUAGAUGAAUCAACAAUUAGUGACAAAAUUCAACUUCCUGAAGAGGUCGCUCCUAAAGAGCCAAUUCUUGAAGAGAAUGAAAUUAUAGAAAAUUCAUUAAAUUUUGUCAUUUCAGGAAAAAGUUAGAAUCGAAAAGAAAUAAUUAUUGAUAGUAUUUUUGCAUAUAAUAUACCACUUGAUAUUAUGGUAGAGAAUAAGGAUCACGAGCCUAGAUAGGUUGAUGAAUGUCGACGUAGAAAUAAUUGGGCAAAAUGGAAAGAUGUGAUCCAAUCUGAAUUGAACUCACUGGUUAAAAGAAAAGUUUUUGGACCUGUAGUCCAAACACCUGAAGGUGUAAAGCCAGUAGGAUAUAAAUGGAUAUUUGUGAAAAAAAAAAUGAGAAAAAUGAAAUCGUGAGGUAUAAAGCAAGACUUCUAGCCCAAGAAUUUUCACAAAGGCUUGGAUUUGAUUAUGAUUACACGUAUUCACCUGUAGUGGAUGCUAUCACAUUUAGAUAUCUUGUGAGUUUUGCAGUACAUGAAAAAUCAGAUAUGCAUCUAAUGGACGUCGUUACUGCAUAUUUAUAUGAAAAUCUUGAUAAUGAUAUUUAUAUGAGAAUCCCCGAAGGAUUCAACAUGCCUGAAGCAUACAAAUCAAAUCCUAAAGAUAUUUAUUCUAUUAAAUUACAAAGAUUUUUGUAUGGGCUUAAACAAUCUGGACGUAUGUGGUACUGCCUCAAUGAAUGUUUAACUAAAGAAGGCCAUACCAAUGAUCCAAUAUAUCCAUGUGUCUUUAUCAAGAAAAAUGGAUCAAAUUUUGUGAUAAUUGUUAUAUAUGUUGAUGAUUUAAAUCUGAUUGAAACUCUUGAAGAGAUUAGUGUUGAAUAUUUGAAGAAGAAAUUUGAGAUCAAAGAUUUUGGAAAAACAAAAUUCUGCCUUAGUUUACAAAUUAAGCAUUUGAAAAGUGAAAUUUUUGUCCACUAAACUGCUUAUACCCCGGAAGGUAUUAUAGCAGUUUUAUAUGGAUAAGGCACAUACAUUAAGUACCCCAAUGGUCAGAUCAUUAGAUCCUAAUAAGGAUCCUUUUAGACUGCGAGAGGAAGAUGAAGAGAUACUUGGUCCUAAAGUACCAUAUCCCAAUACAAUUGGUGCACUAAUAUAUCUUACUAAUUGUAGAAGACCUGAUAUAUCAUUUGCAAUAAAUUUAUUAGCAAGAUUUAGUUCCUCGCCCACAAGACGACAUUAGAAUGGUAUUAAACAUAUUUUUCGUUAUCUCCAAGGAACAAUUGAUCUUGGUUUAUUUUAUUCAAAUAAAUCUAAGCUUGAAUUGCAUGAUUAUGCUAAUGCUGGAUAUUUAUCUGACCGGUAUAAAGCAAGAUCUCAGACUGGUUAUCUAUUUAUACAUGGAGGUACAGCCAUUUCUUUGCGAUCUACAAAGCAAUCGUUAGCCGCCACUUCAUCGAAUCAUGCUGAAAUAAUAGCAAUUCAUGAGGCUAGUCGAGAAUGUGUUUGGUUAAGAUCAAUGACCCACUAUAUCCGUAAGAGUUGUGGGUUAUCCUCCGAAAAAGAAAAUCCUCCAACUAUAUUAUAUGAAGAUAAUGUAGCUUAUAUAACUUAAUUGAAAGGAGAAUAUAUUAAAGGAGAUAGAACAAAACAUAUUUCACAAAAAUUCUUUUGUACUCAUGAUUUACAAAAGAAUGGUGAAAUUUAUGUGCAACAAAUCCGAUCAGAUAAUAAUUUGACAGAUUUAUUUACCAAUGCAUUGCCAACUGUAAUAUUUGAGAAAUUGAUGAAGAAUAUUGGAAUGCGACAAUUAUAAGAUCUCAAAUGAUAUUUGCAUCAGGGGAAGAAAUCAAUACACAAAAAUAGUGUACUAUUUUUCCAUCACUAGGGUUUUCGUCCCAUUGGAUUUUUUCCUAAUAAGGUUUUAAUGAGGCAUAUUCUUUAUGUAAUGGACAUCCAAUGGGGAGUGUUAUGAAACAACUAAAAGUGUGGAUGCCCAUUUGUAUUCUCAAGAAGAUCAAUUCAUAAUUCAUUGCUCCCAAGACGAUUAAUUCAUAAUUCAUUGCUACAUUAUGUAAAGGAAUUACAUUGGAUGAACGGUUUCAAUCCAUAAGAGUUAUUCAUGUAUUGGAUGAACCAUUUCAUAUGGCUAUUUAUGUUCUUGUAGUAAUGAGUGUUUAAUAGAAUUGAUGUACGUUUAAUUUUGUAGUACCUAUAUAUAGAGGUAUCUUGGCACCUCUUUAGUGUACUUUUUGAUUAGUUGGAAUAAUAAAAAAAUCAUUCUCCAUUUCUGUACUACUUUCUCUAAUAUUUCAAUUCCAAUUAUAGCAGUUCAUUUUUUUUUUUGGGUUUACAACAUUACUCAAAGAAGAGAGUUAUUGGACUAUAUGUUUAUUGACCUCUACUAACUUAUUUAAGGUCAUUUCAUAUCACUAUCCAAAGAAAAAUUCUUGGGCGUUAACAUUUUUCUUACAUGCCAAGACUAUUAAUGAAAGUUGACCCAAAUCUCUCUCUCUCUUUCUCUCAAUUCUUAGGACUGAUGCCAAUUCUUACCAUUUAGAAAGAAAAAUUAGAUUGUUUAUAUAUAUGAUGAGUUCCCUCUAAGUCAUGGUUAAGAAAAAUUCUUAGUUUUAUGAAAUGUGAAUUUCCUUUUCGUUGUCUUUAUUCAUUAGUAUUAUUGGGGUUAUUGUAUUAUGAUUGCAAUGCACAGAUACAUGGAUUUUUGACAUUUUUUUUCUCAUUUUUUCUUUUUAAUCGACUCUGACUAUGUCUCAAACUCGAGACAUCAAACCUGGACACGACUUUUGUCCAAAAUGCUUGUAAAAAAUCAGAAGAAUAAUUUUGGACCUUAUUAUUUAAUAAUGGUACGAUUAUGAGAGUCAUUCCAGGUUAAUUAUCAAACUUGUAACUUGAAAAUAAUGUCGACAUCAUGUCAUUAUUAUUUUCUAGUUUCAUAGAAAAAUGAAGUAUUCUCCAACUCGACAUUAUCAUAUUAUUCUCAAUUGGCAGCUCAUGUGAGAAAGACAAGAAAUUCACAAUCAACUGGCCAAGAGAGUGCCAACAAAGAAAGCACUAAAUGGCUUAAACAAAGCAUGCAAAUUUGCUUAGCACUUAAACAAUAGACACCUAAAUCAACCAUGUCACUGUCUUGCCAAAAAAGGGCAUUAAAGUAAAAACAACUCAUGCCUAACACAGGUAACAAACUUCAGCACCUUCACUUCACCGCCACGUCAUCAACAACAUUUGCAAAUUUCCAAGGAAGUCCACGCACUAAAGGUGCCCAUGCCCUUAGGGGACCUCAGGUUAGUGUUCUUAACAUCAACUCCUGUCUUUAUAUUCUUAGGAAAUAUUGAAAUUAAACAUUAUCACUAAUCCUGAUUUCCUUAUGCUAUAUUUGUACACAAUUUGGCAACAAGGUUGUCCUUUUUUGGGCCAAAUUGGACAAGUAAAAAAAAGAAAAUUAAAAGGUUUAUCUGCAAACUGUAGUUCGGCCUGCCUCUUUUUUUUUUUUUUUUGGGGAUAAGAUCGUCAUGUAUCAAUAUUUCUGUACUUAGCAUUGGCUUCUUCUCGCCUGAAGAACACACGAACCACCGGAUGAAAGUGGUGAAUGAAAGUGCACUUAACCCUUUUAAUUUUUCAAAACAAUGCUUUUAGAAAAAAUAAUAAAGACUUUUUUGAAUUUAAUUUUAGAGAAGAAGAAUUUUAAACUUUUUUGAAUUUAAUCUUACAGAAGAAGAAGUUUAAAAUGUACUUUAAUUUUCACAACUGAUGAUGAGAAUAGCAAAAUGUAUACGGACGGUGACAAAAGUGCCGUCUUAUCCUUUUGCUGACGGCCCGUUUUCCAAUGAGAGGAUGCCUCUGCUUCGUAUUUUAUCCAUAUUGAUAUAUAUUCUUUUCUGUCCCCCUAACUAUUAAAUGUGAAAGGUUGCCCACCAAAUUUGACGAAACCGUUUAUCCUAAUUGAUUAUUAUCCAUAGGGCAUAACUUUAAUAUUCUUCUUCCAACCCGUCCGUCAAUGACCACUAACCACCUCUAAUCUAUUCUCAAAUUUUAAUGAAAUUGCGCAAUUAGUUUUCAUUUCUCACUUUUAUUUCAAAUUUGGUCUCAAUUUAAUGUGAAUCCCAAUAAAUAAGACCGGAGUUGAAAUCAAAGAACGUAUUUCAAUCACCAUCGGAUAAAUUCUUCAUGUCUAGUUUUGUCCUUGAGAUGCAUAGAAAAUGUAAGCUGAUCUUGCAGUCUACGAGAAAAACGAAGUCUAAGAGAAUAAUUUUGUCAAAACUUGACAAUGGAAUGAACCGGUGGUCGCUGGUUGGCAGCUGCUAGAAGUCAUAGCAGUUUUAAAACAUAAUUGCAGCAAGUAAAAGAUUAAAACUACGUUGUGUACUGUUAACGACUUACAUUGACAAAAUGGUUAAGGACAGAGUUGAAAGAUGAAUCAAACUGUUCGACAUUCGAUUCGAAUUUGACUUGGUAAAAACUUAUUCCAAUUUGAUUUGUCAGCUAGUCAAAUCUAAUUUAAAUAGUAUUUAACUUUGAAACUUGAUAAAAAGUUUGUUCAAACUCAGUUUACUAAAUAAACAAGUCAAAUUUGAACAAAAUUUCAAACUCAUUAAAAUAAUUAAAUACGUUUGAAUACUAGGAUAUUCGAUUUAAUUAAAUGCGAUUGCACCCCUAAUUAAAGCAUGUACUUUUUUUAUAAAUUUAGGAAUCAACAUUAUACAUUUAAUAGCUAGCUAGAGGGUCAAAAAGUUAAUUGCCUUAAAAUUCUUUUAGCAGCCAUAAAGUAUAGUUGGAGGGAUUCCCUUGAAAUUGAUUAGAUUCUUCUAUGUGACUAAAGAAUUUCGGGUGUGACGUAUUACUAGUCCUACCCUAAAAAAAAUGGUAUUACUAGUCCUUUUUUUCUUUUUUAGCGUGCCCCCGCCGUGGAGUGUGGGGAGGGUGGUCUGUGCGAGAAUUCUAGAUGGGGUACAAGGUGCCAAAGUUCACCUUAUUCAAAGUAAACAACCUUCCAUCUCAGAUGUUGAAUUUCCUGGCAAUUGCGUAUAUAUUACAAUCUUUUACCAUGACUUUAGAGGACAGCUAAAUUUGCUUGCUAUUAAAUAAUAUUUUCGGUAGUCUAUAAAUACUCUUGGUCCUAACUGCUUCUUGCACCACAUAAUUCUUUCAAGAACUACCAAAACCUUCUUGAAAUCCCUCUUUUUCCUUUUAGUUCAUUUCCAAGAAACAAAUUGAACCAUCAUGGCCCCUGUCACUUCCAGUUAUGAGGUCACCUGCUCAAUCCCUCCUGCAAGGUUGUUCAAGGCCACCAUCCUUGAAGAGAAGCAUCUUCACAAGAUCUUGCCACAGGGCGUUAAGAGUGUCGAAAUCCUUGAAGGAGAUGGUGGAGUUGGCACAAUUAAGUUGACCACAUUUGUUGAAGGUAAGAUAUCAAUACAAAGUGAUUAUGUUCACAAAUUUGAAGUCUUCAAAUUGCUCACUUUUUUUUUCUUUUAUUUGGGAAAAGCUAAUGACUUUUUUUUUUUUUUUUGGUUGGGUUAAAUAUUUAGGUGGCGAGCUUAAGACUGCCAAACAGAAAGUUGAUGGAAUUGACAAAGAAAAAUUUACAUACAGUUAUACUGUACUUGAAGCUGAUGGAUUUAACGAUGUAAUCGAGAAAAUCUGUUGUGUCAUCAAAUUUGAACCCUCUGCUGAUGGAGGUUCAAUCUGCAAAACCACUAAUACAUACUACCCCAAAGGUGGUGCUCAGAUCAGUGAGGAACACGUCAAGGGAGGAAAAGAGAAGGGUUUGGGAAUGGUUAAGGCUGUUGAGGCUUACCUCCACGCAAAUCCUACUGCCUACAACUAAUUAUAAUGAAUGCUACUGAAGGACUCUUCGACAUAUUUUCUUCAAGAUUGAAGUAUAAAC